rnacentral:lncRNA from 1 species
CUUAGCAAAGUUGCCGAAUAAUACACGAAUGUAUUUUUCACAUACUAUACUUGUUUCGUAUUUUACUAACUUUGGCCGGUAACCCAACAAAUGUCUAUUUUUAAAAAUCCUAAGUAGUUAAUUAGAAUGCUUUAAAAGUCUAAAGCAUUUUAGAUAAUUAGGGUGGAUCGGUUUUAGUAAAAACGGGGUUCCUUGUGGGUGCGUUUGGUACGUGGGACAGGACGGGACGGAACGGGACGAGGCGUUCCGUCCCGCGUUUGGUGCGCCAAAAAUGGGUGGAACGGGCUGUUCCACGGGACAGAUUUUGAGUGUUUUUGCGUCCCACCUCCCCCCCUGGAACGGGUUUGUUCCACGUUUGUGGAACGCAAUGUUUUACCAUUUUAAGACAAAUAUACCCUAUGUCUUUUUAAAAAAUUACACCUUCGUUCCGUCCCGUCCCGUCCCGUUCCGUUCCAUCUGCGUACCAAACGCACCCAGAACCCCAUUCAAUCCCAAAUUCCAAUAACUAAAUUGCCCUCACAACUUUCAAUCAUAGCCUUAGAUUCAUAACCCUAGGUGUGUAUUUUAGUCAAACAAAUUGUCGGCAGGCGAAAGACGUGAGAGUUGUUUCCUAGGCCCAAAUGUAGCAACCCAAUACGGCUAUUUAGGCUCAAGCACAAUCCCCACACACACAAUAGCAAAAACGUAAUUAAUUCAAAAUCGAAACCCCAUUUCACAAUAGACAUGAAUAGUGCAAUUUGAACCUCUAUUUUAUACUAUAGUAAUAAUUUCAUAAUUUUAUUAGUUGCCCCUAAAAUAUUAAUGAAACCUCUCUUUUCUUCUUAAGAUUCUUAAGAGAGAGAGAAAAUCAAAGCUUAGAAGUUAUCCUUAUGACCAAAAUGUUCACUCAAUUAAAUGAGUUACAUGACUCAAUCAUAUGAUGUGAGGGCAUAGUUUUUCUUUGAAUAACACAAGAUCCGUUAUAAUUUUUUAUUUGGGUGGUGCUAUCUACACCCUUCUCGAUUUCUUGUUGUUGGAUGAAUGAAUGGGAGAAUAUCAAAAGACAAUAAUUAACAAAUAAUGUGUGGAUAAUACCACUUUUGAUUUUUCACGAAAGUUCUAUGUGAAUGCAAUGGUGAGUUAUGGGUGUAUAGGAAUGACACAUAAGCUGAAUGAGCUAUUUCCCCAUCUAACUGUCAAUUAUGUGAUGCAUUGUUGAACUUUUCAACCUUUGAAAUAUAUGUAUAGUGUGUCACAAUCAGUAGAGACCAAAUUAUUAAUUGUGAAUUGCAAUCUUACCCAGUUGCAAUCUAAAUGUACAUCUAAAAAGUUUAUACAACGUAUAUAGUUCGAGAAUACAAUUAAAUAGUAGUGUUUUGUGUUAAUAAUACAUCAACAUAUAUCAAUAUCUCAAAUGGUUGAAUGUUUUAGCUGGGGCUGUUGGUUAUACGGCCACCGAUUUAGGUUUUACUUUGACUGCGUAUAUUUGGUGACCAAUACAACUGAGAUGGUUUAUAUUAAGCAUAUAGUCACGAAUCUCUGGUUGAACGCUUAGGGUUUUGUGUUGUACAACAAUCAUUUUGUCACUGAUGAUGACUCCACCGUUUUGUGUUGUACAACAAUCUUCUUGUCACUGUGAAUUUCUUUGUCAAUUUGAUAACCACUUCAUUUUUAGUUUUCAAUCGUUCCUAGAGAUAGAGUGAAAGUAUAUGGAGAAGUGAGGAAUGGAAAAGGAUGAUGCGAGGUUCAUGGGAAGGAUGAAAACAAAAACUUUGAAAUAGAAAUAGAAGAGGAGUUCGAUUCUGAUUACAGAUCAUUCUUGUGUUUACUAAGAUAUGAAUAGUUAGUCAAAACUGUCGGGGCCACAUAAAAAUGGAAUUCAACUCCUCCUUUUGGAGGAAUUGGAUUCCUUGGUGGAAGGUGGGAAUUGAGUUCCAAGAGUUAAGGGCCUUAGGAAAUGGCCUCUUUCAAUUGUGAGGGUGAGGGGUCAUUUUAUAGAAUAAGGGCUCCUCACUUAUUACAUAUUUGGCCCUUCCUUUAUUACAUAAUUACAUUUAAGUCCCCUGAGUAUUUGUACGAGAUCUAAAUACAGAUGCCAUAAAUAUGGUAUAAAUAGUAGUCCCCCAAGUCUUCAGUCAAUAGAGUCUUUUGGCUAAAGACUUGAAAUUCAGUCCAUGUGUGGGUUGAAGUAAUUAGAUGUCAUCUAGGACUGAUACUCGAUAUAAGGCGGUGUCCAAUCCGAAAUGAUGCUCAACUAUCACAUGUUACGAGGUUGCUCAGCUUGUGGCUUAUGUUGUCUUGGUUGGCUCGGCUUGUGGCGUUGAAGUUGAGGGAGUCCCUUUUAUAGAAUAAGGGCUCGCUCUUCAAUACAUAAAUGAUGGGCUAGAGUUGAUGUUCGCGGCGAGGCGGUUGCUUACUAGGCAGCGAUGCUCUCUGAUGAUGGUGAGGGAGUCUCUUUUAUAGAAUAAGGGCUCGCUCCUCAAUACAUGAAUAAUGGGCUAGAGUUGAUGCUGCUCUAAUGAUGGUGAGGGAGUCUUUUUUAUAAAAUAAGGGCUUGCUCCUCAAUACAUAAGUAAUGGGCUAAAGUUGAUGCUCUCUAAUGAUGGUGAGGGAGUCCCUUUUAUAAAAUAAUGGCUCGCUCCUCAAUACAUAAAUAAUGGGCUAGAGUCCCCCAAGUAUUUUUCAUGAGGCCCAAUACAUGGUACAUAAUGUAGUCCCCCAAGUCUUCGGUUAAUAGAGUCUAUUGGCUGGAAACUUCAAAUUGAAUCCAUGUAUGGGCCGAAGUGGCGGUUGUUCAGAGGCGGUAUUUGUAUACCCUGCACUGAAGCUUUGUAGGUGAAGCUUUGCAAGUGAAGCUUUGAAGCUAGAGCUUUGUAAAUGAAGCUUUCGAAGCUGGAGCUUUUGUAAAUGAAGCUUUUGAAGCUAGAGCUCUGUAAAUGAAGCUUUUGAAGCUGAUUAACAUGAGUGAUGCUCAUGAAUGUUUAUGUUGAUUAACAUGAGUGAUGUUCAUGGAUGUUGUCAUGAGUGAUGCUCUUGAAUAUUAACAUGAGUGAUGCUUAUGAAUGUUGACAUGAAUGAUGGUCAUGAAUGUUUAUGUAUGAUUGUCAUGAGUGAUGCUCAUGAAUGUUUAUGUAUGAAUGACAUGAGUAAUGUUCAGGUAUAAUUUGGAGUACUGGGCGUAUUUUUGAUCACUUGGUUGUUGGCAUUAAGGAGAGUACAGAUUGUACAUUUCAUCACCUGGUUGGUAGCAUGAAUGGCUAGUUGCCAAAUGAUAUUAGAGUACGGGUUGUACAUUUCAUCACCUGGUUGGUGGUAUGGAUGGCUAGUUGCCAAAUGAUAUUAGAGUAUGGGUUGUACAUUUCAUCACCUGGUUGGUGGUAAUAGCGGCAGGUUGCCGAAUAAUUGUGGAGUACUGGGCGUACUUUUGAUCGCCUGGUUGAAGCUAUUUUGGGCUUAUGGGCCUUCGCCCUCUACACAACAUUUCAGCCCAUUUAUUUUGGGCUUUGCCCUUUUUUUUAUUUUUUUAUUUUUUAUUUUUACCCUCUGAUGGGGUUUAUACAAAUAUCUCCAAAAGAUAUGAAAAAUAAAUUACAUCAUUCAAAAAUAAGGAAAGUAAUCCACAUUAUUCUGGUGGGGUGUUUAUUCCUUGCUUUUGUUUUUCUGCUUUUCUUUUGCUUUUCCCACUCCAUUUCUUUCUCUUUUUCUCUUUUCCUUUUGCUUUCCACUGCGUCUCUGUCUCUGUCUCUUGGCGAAACUGGAGGGCUAACUCCACUUGCUUUUCUUGGACAGCCUGGUCGUGCCCAUCCACUAUCACCCCUCUUUUUUCUUUUUCUGUUGUUUAAACACAAGCUGGUGUACUCCAGCUGUAAAAAUCCCAUCAAAGUACUUUUCUUUUCUACUCUUCUGCUUUUGCUUUCGGUUCACUGCGCUUUCAGUCUUGUCAAAACCAAAUCUGGCACCAAAGUUGAAAGCCACCGAAAGCAACCAUGUGUUGCUGUCCACAGCUACCAGAGAUAACCAGUCCCUUUCUUGCAUUCCAUCUCUGGCAAAGUUGAAGUCGGUGAAAACCUCCUCCACAGUGCGCAGGCUGUACGGUGCUAUUCCUCCUUGCCGUCUGUCACAGCUCCUUACUGCUACUCAGCAUCUGACUCCGUUUCUUCUGGUGAUAAGAGCCUAUCGAAACAGUGCCCAGGUAUUGUGCAGAUGGGAACGCGGUCGGCCUUGCGCUUUUUGGCAGAAAAGCUUUUGCCAGAGGUGGUGCAUGUAUCGUCGCCUGAGCUGAGGAAUACCUUGUACUUCCAGUUGUUUGAACGCCGAGAUGAAGCCGAGAGCGAUCACCUUCUCCAUUGUUACGGAGCUUUACCAGAAAAUCAAUGGGGAAGGAAGACUGGAAGAGCCGAGACCAGACUGGCCGAGAAUCUGUCGAUUGGGUUCUUGCAAAGAUCUUUGAGCUAUUUCUGGAGGAGAAGACUCGCUUGCGUUGCCGCCAUGAAUUGGCGGGAAGGAUGUAGACGGAGCUGGGAAGGGAGGGACAGAUCAGGUGAGAGAGAGGAGGGAAAGAAUGAAGGUUUUUUUUUUUUUUAUGUCUGUUUUCACGAAUCCUGGAGGAUUCGAAUUUGACGAUGGCGACGUGGCACGAAAAAUUUCUGUAAUUUUCUAGAAAUUAAAAAUUUUCUUUGGAUCUCCGAAUUUUGACGAUGGCAACGUGAAGGGAGAUGAUUGUUUGGCGGACCCAUCAUGAUGGUGAUCAUCUCCUUCAACACUCUUCAUUGCCUGAUCUUUCAUGUUAGAGAAAAAGAGUUUAAGCUUAAGAAACAGUAGCAAUUAUAAAGAUGGAGAAAUCAGAUCAGAUAUCUGGAUAUUGGUAAUGGGAAGGAACCAAACGUGUAUGCUUCUAAGUGGCUAUGACUUUGGUGAUGCAGUGUUGUUGGGUUUCUCCAGAUUUUGCAAAUUCACGGUGGAGGUAUGAAAAAUUAAGAGAGAACCGACAUAGCUUUUGUCGUUUCUCAUAGAUGGCGCCAAAUGUUGAUACACAAAACUCGAGGUCUUGGAACAACGUAAAUCCGACCGUGAAUCUGCAUGAAAUGUAAAUAACACAAGAUGUAUCGUGGUUCACCCCAAGGUUUGGGCUACAUCCACACUGAAUAUGUAUUUAUCUGAGGGAGAGAGAGAAAGCUCUGAGAGUGAGAGCUUUGAAAGGGUGAGAAGCCUUAAGAAAUGGCCUCUUUCAAUUUGUGAGGGUGAGGGGUCAUUUUAUAGAAUAAGGGCUCCUCACUUAUUACAUAUUUGCCCCUUCCUUUAUUACAUAAUUACAUAAUUACAUUUAAGUCCCCCGAGUAUUUGUAUGAGAUCUAAAUACGGAGGCCCUAAAUAUGGUAUAAACAGAACCCACGACAUUCCGUAGAACAAUGCCAAUGAAACCAACACACGUUAACACAGACCAGCUGGCAUCCACAUUGAUUUUUGUGAACUACGUAGGAGGAAUGGCCCAUCUGGAUGCUUGAAUAGCCUCCGUUUGAAAAACAGGGAGUCCUUUUAACAACAUCGAAAAAAGCUCUAGUUGAGUUGGAGAUAGCACAUAUCACUUGAGUAGGGUUGAUUUGAUUGUUAAUGUACAAAAGAUUGCACCUGGCUUUCCAUAUGUGCCAAUACGUAAAGGUAACAUACGAAAGGAAUGACAACUUAUCAUCAUCAUAAUCGCCAUGCACAUUUGAAGUAGAAAGUACCCACUCCAACCAGCUCGAAACCUUGCUCUUCACAAUUCGAAGAUUGAGAACACCACCAAACCAAACAGGUUCCACCCAAGGGCAUAAUAACAAUAAGUGCUCGAUCGACUCAUCCUAGUUAUGACAAAUCGGGUAAGUCAGAGAAGGGACAGACCGCUUUUGAACAGAUCAUUCAUCAUUAGGAAAACACGAUUGAGGGAUUUCCACAUGAAGUUUCGUAUCUUUGUCGGCGCUCUAAGUUUCCAAAUAAGCUUCCAUAACCGAAUUGGGAUAGCAAGGGAAGAAUAAGGAUGCUGAGUCAUCAGGGGGUUUUGGGCUUUCUCCUAAUGGUACCCGGUCUUCACCGAAUAAUGCCCAUUCUUGGUCAUCAGCCAAAUGAGCCUAUCCUCAUAUAUAGAGUCUUCAAUAUUUGCAUCCCUAAUAACAUUGAGAUCCUCCACCGAAAGGAAAGGUUGGAGCGAGUUGAGGUCCCAUGUUCGAGAUUUUGGACAAAUAAAAUACACCACCCGAGUAUCCUUGGUGACCGACACCUCACCACUAAGAAUAUGAUGGCCCAUCGGGAGGGAUGGAAGCCACAUGUUAACCUAAACUCGCACCCGCUGCCCAUCCAUGAUUUGCCAGUGAGCCCUAUUCAAUAAUAAAUCUCUUUCCACCAAUAAGCUGGACCAAACCCAAAAAGCCCGGCUACCCUUAUGAGCAUUAAUAAAGGAACAAUUUGGGAAAUACAUGGCCUUACAUGGCCUUAAGAACCUAAGCCCAUAAAUAAUUUGGCUCUGUAAUCAACCUUCAACACUGCAUUGCAAGAAGAGCAUCGUUAAAGGAUAUGAAAUUUCUAAAACCCAAUUCCCCUUCAGAUUUUAGGAGUCCCAACACUUUUUUGGAGACCCAGUGAAUUUUUUCUCUCCCCUUUUUUUUGUCCCCACCAGAACCCAUAUAUCAAGGAGUCUAACUCAUUGCAAAUAAAAUUCAAGAAUUUAAAUAAAUUCAUCGAGUAUGCUAGAAUGGCUUGGGCAACAAACUUAAUCAUCACCUUUUUACCAGCCUGAAAGAGAGUACAAUGUUUUCACCCCUGAAUUUUCCCCAACAAACAACCCUUCACAUAAGCAAGUCCAUAGCACUUCAAGCUGCCCCAAAUGGCAGGUAGACCAAGAUAGGUACCUGGAUCGAACACCAUCGGAAUACCUAGGUCACUCCCAAGCUCCUUCAUAAUUGCCAUAGAACUAUUAGCACUGAAAUACACACAUGAUUUAUGAAGAUUCAUUGCCUGGCCCGAAGCCAAGCAGUAGGUUUCCAGUAAUCUGCCCAAGUUGCUACAAUUAGCUUUGUUAGCCUUCAAAAAGAUCAAGGUGUCGUCAACAAAGAAAAUAUGGGAAAGGUGGGCCAUAGGCACACAUCCAAACCCCCUGCAGUUGUUUAGACUUUGUGGUGGUACUUAUCAUAUUUGACAAAACAUCGCUAACCAUCAGAAACAAAUACGAGGAGAGUGGGUCACCUUGCCUUAAACCUCUCGAAUGAUCAUAUUUGUUACCAGGUUGCCCGUUGAGGAUGACAGCAAAGUUAACUAAACACAUACACCCCAUGAUAAGUGUCCGCCAAAUGGGGUGAAACCCCAUCUUUUUCAUGACAGCAUUCAAAAAAUCCCAUUCCACACGGUCGUAAGCUUUAUGCAUAUCAAACUUGAUGCCAAGUUCAAACUUGCUCUUUGUUUUCCUGAGUUUCAGGAAGUGGAAUAGUUCGUGAGCAAUCCCAAUAUUUUCCUGAAUCUGCCAACCCCCAACGAACGCAUUCUACAUGGGAGAAAUAAGGCUCGGAAGUAGAGGUUUCAGUCUAUUAGUCAAAACCUUGGAUAAUACUUUAUAGGAAAAAUUACAUAAAUUUAUAGGCCUGAAGUGAGAAACCAACUCCGGGUUUAGGACCUUAGGGAUUAAAACUAUGUGAGUCGCGUUGAGCUACCUAGGACAAGCUUCACCAUUUGAUAAGAACAUGACAAGCUCAUUAACUUUGUUAACGAUACAGUCUUAAAAUGAGUGGUAGAACACCCCUUGGAACCCAUCCGCCCUCGGGGCCUUGAGACCUCCCAUUUGCCUAGCAGCCAUUGUAAUUUCCUCCUCUGAGAUAGGCAUCAGUAAGGACUGGUUUAUAUCAUCCAUGACCAUUAGGCAGAUGCACUCCAAAACCUGUCCGCAUUCUCUCGGACCUAAUGAAGUAAAGAGUUUGAUGAAGAAGUCAUCAACCAAUUGGUGCACAUGGCUUGGAUGCUCAUCCCAAAUACCGUCGUCGAUCUUAAUCUUCACCACUUUGUUUCUCCUCUAUCUUUGCAAAGUAGAUUGAUGGAAAAACGAAGUGUUGGCAUCACCAUCUCGGAGCCAUUUAGCCUUUGAUCAUUGUUGCCAAAAGUUUUCCUCUUGUUCCCGUAGCCUGUCAACCGCGAUGGUCACUUUGAGAAUUUCCUCCCUAAUUGGUCCCCAGUUCAUUUGGAGUUCCCCAAGUUGGUCCAUCAGAACUUCGAUUUCCUUAGCUCUAUGGUUGAACUUUUUUUUGUUCCAUGAAGUUAGUUUGGAUCUACAGACAUUAAUCAUGUUCUGCCAUCUUGUAAUCACGUCCCCAGAGUAAUGGCGGUUCCAUCAGGAUUUAACAAUCCUUUUGCAAUCCUCCUCAUUAGCCCACAAAGCUUCAAAAUGAAACCGCUUUCUACCUUCUCUGGCUCGACUCACAACAUAUAAAGACUGGGUAAUGAUUUGAACCCACAACCGUAUCGUGUGUAACAGAGGUAUUUGGCCAAGUAGCCUGCCACAGUUGGUUACACAACCCCUGUCAGUCCGUUCCUCCACUAGCUCCCCAUUUCUAGUCCCUCGCCAUGUAAAUGGAGACCCAUUAAAGUGGAGGUCCAAAAGCUCUAAUGCCUCCAUGAAAUUUUCCAAGUACCGGGGCCGGUUAUAAAGAAUCGGAGCCCCUCCAGAUUUUUCGGACUCCCAAAUAAAUUCAUUAAAGUCACCCCUACAUAACCAAGGAAUAUCCAAAGGCUGAAAGUAGGAAGUCAUUCAAUUCUAAAAGACCUCAUUUUCCCCACGAUAAGAAGUAUUAUACACUCCAGUCACCCUUACCCACAUAUCAUCUCCAACUCCCCUAACCCUAGCAUCAAUGAUAUGCUUGGAAGAGAAGAUAAUUUAGACCUCCAACGAAUCAUCCCACCAAAGGCUAAGACCACCAGCCCUGCCAAUCGGCGAGACAUUAAAACCAUCAAUGAAUCCCAUUCUUCUUCGCACCCCAUUAACUUUAUGAUCCUUCAUCUUAGUUUUUGAAAGAAAGAUCAUAGAGGGUCUAUAUUUUCUAAUGAGCCCAUGUAGAGCCCAAACUACCGUGUCCGACCCAAGAACACGAUAGUUCCAAAAUAAGUGUGUCAUGGCAAUCUUACGGCUGUAUCAGGCCAAUUGCCACUGCCUUGGGGAGUUUUCCUCCUUUUCCUUGCCAUAAGAUCAGUACGUUCAGCUUCCGAGACCUCCUCCAUGUACUCCCACAUCUCAAAGAAUUCUUCUGGGAUCUCCUCUAGCUCUUUUUCAACGAGUAGGGCGCGUUCCAUCAUCAAGCACCUCUCUUUAAUGCUUAUACUUCGCAACCUAUCAGCCAUUCUUUGUUUUCUUUCUACUCUACUAUCGCUGUUUUUGCUUCUUUUGUGGGAUGAUUUGAUGAUAUCCAUGUCACUUGGCUCUGCACCUCUUUUUAGUAUAUUGCCAUCAGUCCCUUCCUUCCCAAUCUCUUCUAUAACAAUGGAAGACUUGCCUCCAUUAUGCCAUUGCAGGGCUCUAUCAGCUGACAUUGAGAGGCCCACAUUUAGACUGCCCAGGUUGGAGUGUCGAGUGAAGAGAUGGUUGAGAAGGAGAUUGGUUUGUGAAAGCGCAAGCUUUUUCUAUUAUUGGUUGUAUAAAGGGUAAUGUGGAGAUGAUUUUUUUUUUUAAAACUAAAUUGGUAUAAAUGGUAAUGCUAAGGAAAUCAAACUUUGUUUGCAAAUCUAGUUUAAAAAUUUGGUCUCCAUAGCAUUACUUAAAAAACAUGUGUGUAAAUAAUCUUCAAUUUUAGUUUGGUUAAAGCGAAGAAGACUUGGUUUCCACGGCAACAACAUUGACGUUGAUUCCGUGAAGUGGGGGAGGGGGUCAGGAUUUUAGCUUAGGAGGGGUCCAAAAGUCUCAAUCUGAAAUGCUCUCUUGAUUUUACAAAAAUUAGUAUGUCAUGUGGUGAGAAACUGACCACCAAUGUUUGAGUCGGGUACGGUGUCAUCCUCAUCAUCCUCUCCGUUAAACCUAACCUCAAGCCUCUCUGACUUUUUUUUUUCUCUCUCUCCACUGAUCACUAGGUUAGAGUGAUUCUCAAAGCUCACAAGCAGUGCAUUACUUGAACUCUAUAGAAGCCAACAACAACAACAACAACAAAGCCUUUUCCCACUAAGUGGGGUCGGCCUAUGAAUCCUAGAACGUCAUUGCGCUCAUUUGUGUCAUGUCCUCCGUUAGAUCCAAGUACUCAAGUCUUUUCUUAGGGUCUCUUCCAAAGUUUUCCUAGGUCUUCCUCUACUCCUUCGGCCCCGAACCUCUGUACCGUAGUCACAUUUUCGAACCGGAGCGUCAGUAGGCCUUCUUUGCACAUGUCCAAACCACCGGAACCGAUUUUCUCUCAUAUUUCCUUCAAUUUUGGCUACUCCUACUUUACCUCGGAUAUCCUAAUUCCCAAUCUUAUCCUUUCUCGUGUGCCCAUACAUCCCACGAAGCAUCCUCAUCUCCGCUACACCCAUUUUGUGUACGUUGAUGCUUCACCGCCCAACAUUCUGUGCCAUACAACAUCGCUGGCCUUAUUGCCGUCCUAUAAAAUUUUCCCUUGAGCUUCAGUGGCCUACGACGGUCACACAACACGCCGGAUGCACUCUUACACUUCAUCCAUCCAGCUUGUAUUCUAUGGUUGAGAUCUCCAUCUAAUUCUCCGUUCUCUUGCAAGAUAGAUCCUAGGUAGCGAAAACGGUCACUUUUUGUGAUCUUCGCUAGAUUGCUCCGGUCAUUAGUGUGGAUAAGUAUAUAAAUGGAUAGAGAUAGGAAAGCAAACACAAGAUGUACGUGGUUCACCCAGAUUGGCUACGUCCACGGAAUAGAGGAGUUCUCAUUAAUUGUGAAGGGUUUACACAAGUACAUAGGUUCAAGCUCUCCUUUAGUGAGUACAAGUGAAUGAUUUAGUACAAAUGACAUUAGGAAAUAUUGUGGGAGAAUGAUCUCGUAGCCACGAAACUUCUAAGUACCGGAGUGUGGUAUCGUCUUGACUUGCCUUAUCUGUCUCAUAGGUAGAUGUGGCAUCUUCUCUGGAAGUACUCUUCCUCCAUCCAGGGGUGGUAUCUGUAACUGGUGGAGAUGCACAAGGUAAUGUAUCAAUUUCACUUGAAGCUUACUUGUAGUUUCAUGCUUGGUCAAGCGAGAUACAAACCAUGUAGUAGGAGUCCCCCAAGUCGCCGAGCUGGGGGAUCUGCUGAAAGAUGUGACAGACAAGGUAAGCAAUCAUAGCUCCGACUGAUUGUUCACAUUCUCCCUAUCUUGCAGGCAGCAUGAAGGAUAAAGAGAAGAAAAAUGAGGAGAGAUGAUAUGGGAUACUUUUGCUUUUGAAGAAGUAACUUUCCACAGGCUUAUUCUUGAACUGGGCUGGAGGGUUUUCUGGUUUCCUCCAGAGUAUAAGGCCGACUGAAGAAUUUGAGGGUCAAAACAAGUCCAUCAAAUCUAGAGUACGUUCGACCCUGCUGAUAUGGGAUACUUUUGCUUUUGAUAGAGUAGUGGAUGUAUCGGCACGUGUGCUGUUACGCUUGUCUCCACAUGCUUCCUUGUAUCCUUCUCACUUGCCCUAUCUGUUCCUCAGUCAGAUGCGGUAUCUUCCCUGGAAGCAUAAGAUGUUGAAGAUGAGUACUCGAGAGCAAUGCCAAGUAAGUAAUCAGGUAAGGGGUUCCAGGCAGUCAGUUCCUGGCUGGAAGCUUGAUUCUAAGUGCUGACUGAUUGCUCUCUUUCUCCUUGUCUUGCAGGUAAGAACAAGGCCAAAGGAAAAGACAGGGAAAAAGCAUGAUAUGGGAUACUCUUGCUUUUAACCCUGAUGAUAUGAGAUAUUCUUGCUCUAGUAUAGCUUGUUUACAGAGGUAUUAUCGGGGGGAAAGAAAGCUGAAUAUUUCGAAAGGCUUUGUUGGGAGUGCCCUCUCAGAUAAGAGAAAGGGUUGAGCAUUUUGCAGGUAUGCCUGUCCGUUAGGGAUGGAAGUCGACAUAUAUAGGAGUCUCCCUAACAUCAAGUAAUAAUGCUAUUCCUUUACCCUGCUUGGUUAUAACACGGUAGUGGGAGCUGCCAGCUUCACAUGUUUUAACUCUGUCAGAGCACUUUGAAAAAGUGGUUUGUGGUAUCUGGAAAGCUGAAGUUGCGUGUGAAGAUUACAGACCUGUCGGGGGUCUGGCUCUCGAGAUUCGGAGAACGAUGCCUCUUCGAUUUUUGAGAAAGCAAUCUUGCUGGGGGUCUGGCUCUCGAGAUUCGGAGAGCGGUGUCUCUUCGAUUUUUGAGAAAGUAAUCAUGUUGGGAGUCUGGCUCUCGAGAUUCAGAGGGCCGUGCCUCUUCGAUUUUGGAGCAAGCAAUCUUGUUGGGAGUGUUUUCUCGAAUGUGAGUAAAGGUUGGGCAUGUUUACUAGUCUACCUUGCCACGAAGCACAGAGGUUGACACACAGGGACUUUCCAAUUAUCCAGCAGUGGUACUGUUCCUUUACCUUCUCUUCGAUUUUGAGAAAGUAAUCAUGUUGGGAGUCUGGCUCUCGAGAUUCGGAGGGCGGUGCCUCUUCGAUUUUGGAGCAAGCAAUCUUGUUGGGAGUGUUUUCUCGAAUGUGAGUAAAGGUUGGGCAUGUUUGCUAGUCUACCUUGCCACGAAGUACAAAGGUUGACACACAGGGACUUUCCAAUUAUCCAGCAGUGGUACUGUUCCUUUACCCUCUCUUCGAUUUUUGAGAAAGUAAUCAUGUUGGGAGUCUGGCUCUCGAGAUUCGGAGGGCGGUGCCUCUUCGAUUUUGGAGCAAGCAAUCUUGUUAGGAGUGUUUUCUCGAAUGUGAGUAAAGGUUGGGCAUGUUUGCUAGUCUACCUUGCCACGAAGCACAGAGGUUGACACACCGGGACUUUCCAAUUAUCCAGCAGUGGUACUGUUCCUUUACCCUUGUGGGUAAUAAUAUGGUAGCUAGACCUUCAAAAUUUAUGUGUCUAAACUUUGUUAGUGUUGUUUCUUUGCAAUUCUUUUACCCUUCUUGGUCAGAGCGAUGUAGUGGGAGCUGCAAGCUUCACGUGUCUCAACUUUGUCAGAGAACUUUGGCAAAGUUAUCUGUGGUACCCAUGAGCUACUGUUGCGUGUGGGAAGUGGGUGAUUGAACAGUACGAUUCAUGUGCUUUUCUACUUCGCCAGAAAUCUUCGACAGAAUGCCCAUAAUUUCCGCAAAGCUGAGUGUGCGUGUGACAGGUGCUGACAAGGCUGGAAAAGUAGGUGCCUCUUCGAUUUCUGAAAUCGGCCCUCGUGGUCUCUGAGCAGCCCAGCUUUUGAGAAAGCAAGCCUCUUCGAUUUCUGAGAUCGGCCUUUUGUGGUCUUUGAGCAGCCCAGCUUUUGAGAAAGCAAACACCUCUUCGAUUUCUGAGAUCGACCCUCGUGGUCUCUGAGCAGCCCAGCUUUUGAGAAAGCAAACGCCUCUUCGAUUUCUGAGCAGGCGCCUCUUCGAUUUCUGAAGCUUCGUCGAGUGCAGAUUUUUAUAGGGGCUGACAUUAAGUUCCAAAGCACACUUGAAUAUCCACCAGUAGAAGCUCCAUUCUUGCACUUCUAAGAUCUUGUUUUGUCCGACCUCUUCUCUCUUCAACACCUUUGAAAAUGUCUGGCCCCUCCGACCGUCGUUUUGACUUGAACCUUAUUGAAGAGGCAGCCCCGCCUUCUCCAGAUAACAUAUGGCGCCCAUCCUUCGUCUCCCCUACUGGUCCUCUUACCGUUGGGGAUUCCAUGAUGAAGAAUGAUAUGACCGCUGCGGUAGUGGCCAGGAACCUUCUCACUCCCAAAGAUAACAGACUACUUUCCAAACGGUCUGAUGAGUUGUCUGUUAAGGAUUCUCUGGCUCUCAGUGUUCAGUGUGCAGGUUCUGUGUCUAAUAUGGCCCAACGCCUAUUUGCUCGAACCCGCCAAGUUGAAUCAUUGGCGGCUGAAGUGAUGAGUCUCAAACAGGAGAUUAGAGGGCUCAAGCAUGAGAAUAAACAGUUGCACCGGCUCGCACAUGACUAUGCUACAAACAUGAAGAGGAAGCUUGACCAGAUGAAGGAAUCUGAUGGUCAGGUUUUACUUGAUCAUCUGAGAUUUGUGGGUUUGUUCCAAAGGCAUUUAUUGCCUUCGUCUUCUGGGGCUGUACCGCGUAAUGAGGCUCCAAAUGAUCAAUCUCUGAUGCCUCCUCCUUCUAGGGUUUUGUCCAGUACUGAGGCUCCGAAUGAUCCCCCUCCGGUGCCUUCUCUUUCUGGGGCUCUACCGACUGCUGAGACUUCUCCUAAGCAACCUUUGUGAAGGCUCCCUCUUGUUUGUUUAUUUUGACUCAAGUAUAUGUACAUAUUUGUAACUUAUCGGGGAUAUCAAUAAAUAAGCUUUCCUUCAUUUCAACGUAUUGUGUUAAAUACACCAAAGCCUUCUUCGCUAAGUUCUUUGAAUUUUCUUUUGUUGAAGCUUGUAUGUUGAAGCUUUGUGAGUGGAGCAUAUAGGUUGAGGUAGUGUUCCCUUAAUUUCCCGAGUGAGGAAAACUUCUCGAUUGGAGACUUGGAAAAUCCAAGUCACUGAGUGGGAUCGGCUAUAUGAAUCUUAGAACGCCAUUGUGUUCUGUCCUGUGUCAUGUCCUCCGUUAGAUCCAAGUACUCUAAGUCUUUUCUUAGGGUCUCUUCCAAAGUUUUCCUAGGUCUUCCUCUGCCCCUUCGGCCCUGAACCUCUGUCCCAUAGUCGCAUCUUCUAAUCGGAGCGUCAGUAGGCCUUCUUUGCACAUGUCCAAACCACCGUAACCGAUUUUCUCUCAUCUUUCCUUCAAUUUCGGCUACUCCUACUUUACCCCGGAUAUCCUCAUUCCUAAUCUUAUCCUUUCUCGGAACUCUAUAGAAGCCACCAACCUUAAAUCAAACCCGAUGAAAGAAAAUAAAGUAAAACCGUCGGACUAGGGCCUUCAUCCUAUGGAAAAACCUUGAAACUCAUAGCAUAAAACUAAACUUUUCAGUGUGAAAAAAAAAUGUCAAGAUUCCGUGUACUUCUUAAGGUAAAUCAUAUGCAUUCAGUUAGGAAAACAUCUUUAUGUGACUCACUUUUAUUUGGGUUGUGAGAUCAAAUCUGUUUAGUUUUUAUAGAAAAGCAUAUUUGAGUAACUUGAGGAAAAAAGAAGUUGACUAAGUAUCUUUUAUUGUUGUCCUAUUUCUUUAGGCUUCAAUUUCCCUUUAAAUAAAUAAGUUUGAAUUGUGGGAAAUUAACUUUUGCAUAUUCUAAAGAAUACAUGCGCUACCCACAACAGCUACACCACCUGCAAUUUUCUCCUUCCAACCACUACCAAUCCUAUGCUCUGGCAAUGGUGCAAUCAGCAAAGCACAACUUAGAUAAGUUGCGAAACUUGUGUAAGUGAUAAUAAUACAACAUAUGUGAAUAUCAAUAACAUCAAAUGAUUAAAUGUAAAAGUAGUGUUACAUGGACUUUUCUUUUGAAUACUGGGUCAAUCCAAUCACCGUCAAUAUCAUUCCAAUAUUCUCUUCGAAUUGUGGCUCACCGUUCACCUUUCAUCAAUUCCGAGUAAUCACAAAGGUCCAAUUGCCACAUAUUUCAUAAUUUAACCACCAUACGCCUCAUUAUAUGUAUAGGAAUAGUUAUAUUCCACAUGUUAUAAUACAAGUGAAGGAAAUAAUGUAUUUUUCUGUGCCCUUUCAAUUAUUUUACGACAUGUGAAGUGAUGGCCCAAAUACCGGGCACUUUGAAAAAUUUCUCAGUUAUUCUGAGAAAGUUUUUAAAUAUUAUUUUCUACUAUCAAAACUCUCAUGUGUGUCACAAAUUAACUUCUAUUAUACUAUCACAAUGUAAUAUAGUUCGAAUCGGCUAUAAAAAAAAAUUAAUAAGAUUAAGGCCGCAUCAAAAUUGACAAUCAUAAACAUAUCACUUAUACUUUUGAUCUAUACUAAAAGGUUUCUUCUUGGUUAAAGCUUCAGUAGUGAAUUUGUUUUAAAUGCGAUUUGUUAGUCUAAAUUAAUGAAUACCAAUGUUUUGAUUUCAAUCUAAUUUCAAAACUUAUAAGAUCGUUUCAGGAUUAAAUUCGUCAAAACUUCAUUGUCAAAAAACAAUUAAAACGUCAUUUUGGACGACAACAUCACAAACCGUUAGUUAAUUGAACAUUUUUGCGCCCGAUAACAGGGGAUAGAUGAACAGUUUUGUCUAGAGUUUAAUUAUGUCAAGGGGAAUUACUAAUUAUGUAAAAUUGUAACUUGCAUUCUAAGACCAUCUCUAACCAAGUUAAAAUCUAAAAUUUUAACUCAAAAAAUUUAGGUUUUAACCCAGUAAUAAUUUUUCUGCUCCAAUCUUCCUAGGUUAAACUUUUAGUUAUUAAAGAAGAAUUUAAAAUAAUAUUUUUUUUUAAAUACGUAGACUAUCAUAAUUUAAUUUCAUGAACAUUUUAACUUAAAAAUAUUUAGAUUCCGAUAAAUAUUGAAAAAUCACUAAACCGAUACUAUGAAACACAUGAAAGAUUUUUUUAUAAAUUAUUUUAGCUAUUGGAUUUAAAUUUAGAUCGUUUGAUUUUUUUUUAACUGUUGGUUUUGAUCCUUUUUUUUUAAUACAUCAAUGAAUUCAUAAAUAUAAUACUAAAAAAAAUACACAAAUAUGGUGGACGGCCGGCCCACUGAUCCAAAGAGCAUUCUGGCCUAAAUUUGUCCCAAUAAUAAGUUUUGGGUUAACACUCAUAUUUGGUUCAGUGAUUGAAACAAGUUGAGGGAUAAAUUUAGAUUUAAAAUUUGAGUUUUAUUCGAAAAAUUAGAAUAGGUCUAAGAAAAAAAUCCAACACAAUAAAUUACAAUAAGUGUAGAGAAAUAAUUAAACAAACAAGGAACUCCCCAAUUAAAGCAACAUCAACGUGCAAAUUUAAUCAAAAGAUCAACAGAAUCAUUACAUCGCAAUUAAUCGCGGCAGCAACACACGUUUUUUCUGCGUCUUGAACGAAGUCGGUUUCACGGCAUCGUGAGAAUAAAACCAACGGUCACAUUUUUAUUAAAACCGAUCCACCCUUGUUACCCACCGACAGCCCUCAACACUCUCACCGCCACAAACUCAACACUCCAUUUCCCAACGGCCUCCCUCCAAAUAUCCCCCACCAAAAUUACACUCUAAUUCGUAUCAACAUUCAAAUUCACUACAUAUAUUUUUCCGGGCCUUUAGAAAAAACCCAAUUUAUAUUUUCACAAAUUCAAAUUUUUUUUUUUUUUGGGGAUUUGAUGAUUUUGCGAGACAUGCAAGCCAAGUCGCUGCAAUGGGCGGCGUCUCCUGGGCUCCGGGUCGGGCUCGAAACGCCGCCGUCGUCCUCGUCCUGGUCGCAGCUGGCGGUCGUGAACUUGCACGGUGGCGCUUCUGUAAAUAGCUUGAAAGCCAGAGGUUUGUUUGUAGUAAAGGCCAUGGAGGUGGAGGGUUCCAAAACGGCGAGUCUGAAUGGGCACGCCGGGAGCUCAGGUACUGGGUUAUUUCCUGAGUUGCGCAUAAACCCAUUUGCAAUUUACCAUGUAGAUUUGAAAUUUUUAAGCUUUUAUUUGAAUUUGUUUUUUAUUUUUUGUUGAAUAGAUAAAAAUGGGAACUUGUUGUCUUUGGUUGGAAAUUCAACCAAUAUUAAGUGGCAUGAGUGCUCGUUGAACAAAACUGACAGGCAGAAGUUGCUUAAACAAAAGGGCUGUGUCAUUUGGAUCACCGGUCUCAGCGGUUCAGGUUGGUAUUUUCUUAAUUCAAAGUUGUAUAUACAUAUAUACAUGCCUACAUACAUAUAAAUGUAUAUAUAAUGCGGGCGUAUUCAUGGCACCAAUUUUUUCCACAAUUUUUUAAAUACGAUUUUUGUGGAGUCCACUCCGUAAUGUAUUUUAAUGAUCUGAACCUUCGUUCUUUUAGAACAUUAUUUGUAUAUCAUCCUUGCAAAAAAUUAGACAAAUCCAAAACCCUUAAGACACGCAUUUGUAGUGAAGAAAAUGGACGAAUACGGUUUUACAAAGAGAUACUAAACCCUUAAUGCAAUGGUCAUAUGAUUUCAGAUGUGGGUGAUUUUUGGUGGAUAUGAUCUACGAAGGAUGAUCUAAAAGAUAGAUGGAUUGGUAGUCUAACAACACCUAUACCCAUCAGGCAAUGUGGGGAUAGAAAGUUGCUCAUUACUUGCGUAUUAUUAAUUUUGUUUGUCAGGGAAGAGCACGGUGGCAUGUGCUUUGGGUGGGAGUUUGUACCGCAGGGGGAAGUUGUCUUACGUUCUUGAUGGGGACAAUGUCAGGCAUGGCUUGAAUCGCGACCUUAGUUUUAAAGCAGAAGAUCGUGCAGAGAACAUUCGGAGGAUUGGUAAGUCUAUGCCUCCUUUUAGCUUAACUAGGCCCUUUUUUAGAUCAACUAUGGCUGUCGACUUCAUUAUAUAAUCAUGAAGCAUUGGCUUUGGUUUUGUAUUCAGGUGAGGUGGCGAAAUUGUUUUCUGAUGCUGGAGUUAUUUGUAUUGCUAGCUUGAUUUCUCCUUAUAGAAAGGAUCGUGAUGCCUGCCGUGCAAUGCUACCUGCUGGAGAUUUUAUUGAGGUUGGUAGUUUCACUGGUUCUUAAACAGAUGACUGUUUUUCACGUUUCAACUCUGAGCUUUGUGCAUAUGUUUGAAAUAAUUCUUGAAGAAGUUCUGAGUAAAGCAAACUUGUUUUGUGAAAGGUGUUCAUGGAUGUUCCACUCCAAGUUUGUGAAGCUAGAGACCCGAAGGGCCUAUAUAAGCUUGCCCGUGCAGGGAAGAUCAAAGGUAUAAGCAAACUACUAUCUCGGAUUUUGGUUACUGAAUUGAGUCUUCUUUAUUUUAACAGCCUGCUUAAGGUACUACUGCUACUAUAAUCUUUACGUUGAUAAUUCUUUUUCCCGUGUGAUACAAGAAACAUUGUGAAUCUUAUUAUCGUUUCUGAAACUUCUGUUUAAACAAUCACUUGAAAAAUUCUUAUCUGGGAUGCAAACCUGUGAAUCCGUGAAUCUUCUUCCCUUGUUAAUUGACAUGUAUACUUUUGAUGUUAGUAAAUUUCGACAUCUCAUAUGUGGCCCUUUAAGUGUGACUCUAUUGCUAAUUAAACCCUGGACAAUUUGUAUGUUGAGUUUUAUUUAAAUGUGUAGGUAUGCCAAUCCCACUAUCCAUAUUCAGAAGCACCGCAUAUUUUCAUUUCACAUUGCACAAGGAUUUCUGGUUGAAUGGCCAUAUUAUCUAUCACUUCGAUAGUUUCCUAGUCCAAAAUGCUGAUCAUUACUUAUACUGUGUCAAUCUGGCAUUGCAGGUUUUACCGGGAUUGAUGAUCCAUAUGAGCCACCACUAAAUUGUGAGGUAUGUACACUAUCUAGAGAAAGGCAGAAUACACCUUUGAAGUUCAAAUUGAACAGGUGCGGGUACAUAGACUGCACAUAUCAUAUAUACAUAAAUGUUUCUCAUGCUAAAGAGCAAUACACAUAACGUCAUGUUAGCUGGGGAAUAUCAACUUAAAGAUAAAAAUAGUUAAACGCAAUCCAGAAGUAAAGAUUUUCUACAUCAAGAACUUGAAUUUGAGAUAAAUUAGUCGCUUUAAAUUGCAUGUGACCAUUUCAAUUCUUAUUUUAUAAUUAGCCUGUAGGGAUAUGAUGCAGACUAAAAUGAAUGAUGAUCUGGUGCAAACUUGGGGGUGACAUGUAUGAUGUAACUACGGCUGCACAUAAACUUAAUUCACCUGUUGUUACGUUUUCCUUUUUGGCCUAUACUGUGCUUGAUGUUAUUGUUUUAUUCCAAAUACGAAAGCAGAAUUUUUCAUUUGUUGUUUUUUCAUCCUUUUAUCUGGCUUCAGAUAGUAUUAACACAUAAAGGAGGAGCGUGUCCUUCCCCAUGUGAGAUGGCUGAAGAAGUAGUUUCUUACUUGGAAGAUCAGGGGUUCCUCCAAGCAUAAGAAGUUGGUGGAACCUUUCCUUGAACUGUCAUAACUUUGAGCUCUACUGCAAAUACGGUGAAGAUAGUUUCUAGCGCUCCAUGUGGAUGCUAUGCAUCUUGCAUUACCAGAUAAGAUGCAGAAAUCACCUGCUCUGAUAUGAAGCUGCCCUUUUGCCUCGUCUAACAGGAAAACUGAUGCAAUAUUCCUGUAAACGCAUUAGUUAAUUGCUUGAUUAAUUUGUGCCAAAUCUUUUUUAUGUUUGAUGUUAGUAUGAAUUGUGGUCUCCUCGUUGUAAAUGAUAGAGUGGAGAGUUUCUUGGUCAUAUUAUGCCCCAGUUUGGGGUUGAGGUGAUUUUAAAAAAAGCUCUUAUGAAAAAAAGCUAGGAGUGUUUUUGGUGUUUGGUAAACUUAAAAAAAAGGGCUUAUUUUGGAAGCUGCUGUGAGAAUAAGCUGAAAUCAAAGGAAAAAGCUGAAGCUGCAAUUUGUAGCUUUGGAAAACUGGUUUUUUUUCAAAGCACAUAAAACUACCGUGCUCCUUUAAUGAAAAGAUCCACAAUCAGACUGCUUUUUUUUCCAAAAGCACUUUUACAAAAAAGUUUACCAAACACUCUGCUGAUUUAUUUCACAGCCGCUUAUUCUCACAGCACAGCUGCUUAUUCUCACAGCAGCUUUUUUUCAAAGCACAGCAAUACCAAACCAGCCUAUUUUGUUUCGAGUUUGAUGUGUUUGUAUCAUCUCGUGGCGUUUUUUUGUGCAUGCGUUGGAAUAUUAUUGUAGUUACAAACUGCUGCUAAACUCUUUUGUACUAGAUCUAAUAUGUAACCAUAAGAGCAAGGUGACUUAAAUCUUGGAGAGACCCUGGCGGAAUCAACAGUAUGGGGAUCAUCGUGGGUCAGUAUUCUCCACGAUUAAGACUUGAAAAACACGCUCUACGGCCAAGGGGCACUGUAAACGCUCUUUGUCGUCUUAUACGUGGGGGAAAAGAAGGCCAGAAGAGCUCUCUAUAGACAAUGUAAGAUGAAGAAGAAUUUACUUAGAAUUGGAUACCUUAUUGGUUUGUGUUCUUUACAAAGUAUCCAUGAAACUCUCUAGUUUAAAGACCGAAAAGAAAACAGCGAGAAACAAAACAGAGGUUUUUGUUACUGGCCUUUGCCUUUGGCAUGCUAUUAUUAGUGAUUUAGAUAAUUUAGUAAAAAGAAACAAAAGCAGAGGUAUCUUAGAAUACCUUCUCUUUCUUGUUUGUAACACUUCUCGUAAUUUAUCAUCAAUGCGGUGCCAAUCGGAUCCAAAACUAGUUGGACUUCAAAUGUAACACAAAGCUAACAAGUUACUGAACGACCGCAGGUAAAGCCUCUUAAGUUAUUAUAAUUAAGCCUUUAAAUACACGAUCUGGAACUUGCUCUGAAUUGUGAAUCCCAAAAGAGGGAAAAAUACUCAUAAAGAAAUAGAGGAAAAAUGAAAAACCCUCUAAGAACCAACCCACCUCAUCACCUAACCUCCCCCAACCAUAAGGCCAUAGGCCACACUAAGAUUAGACCUGACAAUUUCUUACACGACCUGUGAAUACGAUACAUAAAUGACACGAAAAUAACAAGUUUCGGGUCGACACAAUAACUCAUUAGGUCGUUAUCGGGUCACACGAUAAGAACCAGUUAAUAAUAGGUCCUUAAUAAGUUUACACGAGAAUGACACGUGGGUAAUCCGUUUCAAUAUGUUAAGAAAAAUGUUAUUUUGAUGAUUUUAAUUUUUGAAACUAACAAAAACAAUUUACUAUAAAAUACAAUAGCCAUAGUGUAUACGUAUAUAUUGUAUAUCAAAUAUGUAUUAUGUAUUAUUAUUCUAUAUAAAUUUUAAAAAUUUAAGUUUUAUUUAUUGAUUGGUAAAUUACCCUUUACAACCUCAGGUUUGAGGCCUAUUGCAACCUCAUAUAACAUCUUCAAAACAUUUCACUUUCAUACCUUAAGUACUAUUUUAUUUCAGUAUAAUACAUCCGUUACAUUUUCCAUCCAUUGAUGAAAAUUUUAGAGAUUGGAUAACCUUUGAUGUGAGCCGUGACAUACAACGACUUUAAAUGUUGAAGAUUGUCCGAGGAUGAGCAGGGAAACAAUAUGGCUAGAGUUUCUUUAAGUGUGUCGUUGUUAUUUGCUUGCCCAUUGUCGUUGGUGGUGACGAAAUUGACUUGUGUUGCUUCCUCGGUGACCACAUCACCAUCUAAGAAAUUUGGUUGGUGUGCAGUUGGCUGGAAUUCAGCAGGUAGAAUAUGAACCAUGCUGAUUUCCAUGUUCUCGAUAACUGAAGGGCUCAUCGGAUCUUGGUCGUCGUCUUCCGGGUUAUCAAGAAUUGCAACAUCGUGCGUUAAAGCAUCCUCGGCCUGAUCAUCGUGUGCCUCGAUGGGUACUUGCUUUUGUGACAUGUAACCCGACCUUGCUUUCUUCUGACUGUCAUCUUUGAGCCCGUUCGGUUCUGUCGUCUGACUUUGCCCCUGCAAUGCUUUACGGGCUUGUUCUUCAUAAGCGAUUCAAGCGUCCCUUGUGUCUAGGUAGCCGUCCAGACGUGUCACCCGAUCUUUUUCAUCGGCCGUAAGACCGAAGAGAGAUAUGGUCGAGAAGACUUCGAAGUGGUGUCGUAAGUACAAUGUCUGUGUAUGGAUCAACCUUGAAGCCAAGGACCCUAGCUUCUCUUAUGUGCCAGAACUUGGUGUUCAUUACUGGAUCGGUGGUUUUUUGGAUAAUCUGUUCAACCUCAGGACAAGUUAGUGCCAAGUUGAGAGCUUCUUGACACGCCUUAGGUAGGCCGUACAAAUCGUUGGCAGAAUAUUUCUUAUGAAACUCUCUCAUGUACUCCAAAGAUUCGCCGAGGAAUGGAGGGUGUAGAUUUCAUCGAACUCUUAUUAACGGUUCUUGCGGAGGUAACGGCAUAAGUUUUCUUUCAAUGUCUUUUCUAAACUGCUUGAAAUAAACUUUCAUCUCCCCAGGCCAAAUAAGGAGUUUGAUGCGCUUCUUGGACUCCUCAAUGGUGGUUUCGAAGUCACGAUCGAUUCCCUUUCGCCUUUGUACUUCAACCAUGAUUGUUGGUGUUUGUUGGUUAUCUACGCUUCUAAUCGCUUCUUUUGGCUGCCAUUUAGCGACCGAAAUGGUCUGGGCUGCCUGUCGUCGAGCCAUGCAAUCUAUUUGCUGGCGUCGAUAUUUUUGAGAUUUGGAUAGUUCAGUAUACAUGCUAGUGGGAGAGUAGGCGGCUUGAAGGUUUUUUUAUUCGCCGAUAAACUUGAACUGUUGGAAUUAUGAGAGUAAUAAUCCUUAUUAUAAAACGGUGCGUCGAAAUCAAGAUGCCAUCUGGCCGAGGUAAGGGUGUUUGUCCUUUCUUGAGGGCUGAGCCUAUCGAACACUUUCUGGUGCUGGCCUCCGCCAAGUUCCUUUAGAGGUGUGGCCGCAUCCUUGGAUGCUUGUCGUGGUGUUGGAGUUGGAGGCGGUCGCUCUUUCGGUUCGGUUAAUAUGACGUGUGCCUUACAAUUGCUACACAAAACCAUUGGCCUAUCAGUUUCUUCUGCACUAGAGUCUGACAUAGAUUCGACUGGGGCCGGUCCUUAAAACUUGGUGGGUAGUUCGUUGGAAAAUAGAUCAAUUUUGAGUCGUGGCCUAGAGUUUUGCUUUGGGACGUGUUGUAUUGGGACAAAUUCGACCUUCCCUUACCCUUUGCUUUUGGGCAAAUGGGCGUUUACCAUGCCAACUGUUGCCGAAGGGAAUGGAUCAACGUCGACCGCCAUUUGUUUUUCAUGAAACUUUAGCUUGCCUUUAUCAAUCCAGCUUUAAAUGUCAUCACGGAACACAACGCAGUUGUUUGUGGUAUGCUUAGUCGAGUUAUGGUACUUGCAAUAUGUCUUUCCUUUAAGCUCUUCGGCCUUGGGAAUGUUAUGUCUUGGCCGAAGUUUGAUAAUCUUUGCUAACAACAAUUGGUUGAAAAUUGCAUCGGCCUUGGUGAUAUCAAAAGUGUAAACUUUUGAUGUUUUCAUCAUUUCUUCAAUGGCCGAGCAGGUUUUGGCAUCUUUGGAAUUAAUUUGAGUCAAUGCCUUGCAGACAUAUGGUUUAUCUAUUACUAUCUCAGCCACGUCCACACUGACGUAUAGGGAAUCCUCGCCUUCGGCCGAUGCGUAGCUAAUCAUGGGAUUUUUGUAAAUCGUUCCUCGGGAUGGGGACUUCGAGAUUUUUUCCUCUCAGAGCAAAUGAUCAUAUUGCUCGACAUGUUAGCCUAAUUCGUACAUAUCUUGGAAGUUUGCCCCCAUGAAUUUCUUUUUGUACUCCACGUCUAGCCCAUUGAGAGCAAGCCUAAUGAAUUUGAUUUCGGGUAGAGGUACUCGGCACCAAUUCCUGGCUGAUUUAAACCUUGUGAGAUAGUCCAUUGGUGACUCAUCAGAUGCUUAAGUCAUCCUGGCUAAUGAAGAAACUGACAUUUCCAUCCCCGGCCGAUAGAAUUGCUCGUGAAAUUUCUCGACCAGCUCAUCCCAACUUUGGAUGGAAUUAGGUGGGAGGUUGAUAUACCAUGCGAAUGAUGAGCCUAUCAACGAGAAGUUGAACAAUCACAUAUUAUAGAAAUCAUUAUUGACGUCUCCGCAUUGCGCAGUGAACCUGGCCACAUGUUCUAACGAGGACAAAAACGAUUCUCCAGCAAAAAGGCUGAAAUCUAGGAUCUUGAAGCCUUUAGGAUAUUUGAAUUUUUCCACAUAAGCUGGAUAUGGAUGAAUGAAUUUCAGGAACUUAGGCCCCUUUUCCAUGGCCGAAUCAAUCAUCCUUUGGACCUAGAUCAUAUUGACGGAUUCUACUUCCAUUCUCUGGUUGGAUCCAUUUGACCUACUACUUGAUCCUUCCUUUUUUUUCCAAGUCAAUUGUUUUGAGCCGAGUAGAUCCUACUUUGGCCUGUAGUUGAUUACCUUUAAGCGAAAAUUGUCUGGAUUGAUCAGUAGGUCCCCUGGCGAAGACUUUGCUAACUAAUAAUUCGAGCAAUUGGGUGUGUGUCUCACCAUUACUUCGAGCAAACUAUUCAUUUUUUGGAUAACUGUCUGUUCAACCUGCCGAAAUUGCUCGUCAAGUCGUCUUUGAAUAAACAACCUAGUUGGAGGGUUAGAGCCUUCACCACCAUCUUCGUCGCAAUUCUCCACUAUUCUUUCAAUGAAAACACCUGUGGUUCGGUUGGGUACUUCUAUGUUUCGGGGCUAGGUACCGAGAUAAACUUCUUUUUCUUGGUGUGUCACACUUGCAGCCUCAGGGGUCACAGUAACGAGGGGAUUUCGUGCAUGUGACACUUCUUGUCCAGGACUCUGAACUGGCAGAUUGGUCGUUGACUUUCCCAUGAUUGUUUUCUUUUUAACCAAUCGUGUCUCGAUGGUCAUGAACUUCGUAGUUUUAGCACUUGUCCCACUGGAUGUGUUAAAAUGUUGACCCUAAAAACUACCAAGCCUACGUGGCGCGCAAGUUGAGUAACUAGAGAGCUAACUACGUCAUUCGGUUUAUGCGGGGCGUGCCAACUCGUCAGCCGAGCUCGGCCGAGGAGUAAUAUAUAUUGAUGUUGCUUUGGGUGCACUGCUGACUUCUCGAUCUUGAGAUUGCGGCUGAGGAAGGAACACUAUCGGCCUUCGGGUUCUAGAGCCUGAAGAUAAGGUUGUUAGUUCUACGAAGUUCACAAAUCAUUGGUGCCGGAUUCGGUCAUAGUGAUUAUAUUUGUAAGGGUAUAAGCACGCCGAAUCGACACCAGAGUAUAGGGGCACAGAUGCUCAAAAAAUAUAUAUGUCUUGAUGGUAAAUGUGGUUCGACCGUCAAAAUGCCGAACUCUAAAGCUUACUUGUGAGUAUCUAAUCAUAAAACAACUCGGCGUUCAAUGUGCGGAUCCCUAGUAAACUGUAACACCUUACCUUGUCGAAAAGGCUAAUGAGAUGACCUCUGACAACAAAGACCCAAAAGUCUUUCUCGACUGAGACUUGGAUAGAUAACCAGUCGGCCUUGACGCAGUGCUGUUUAUCCAAACUGAAAAUGUUCCGCGGUCGAUUGGUUCUACGACAAUAGUGUUGUAUCCAAACUGAAGGUAUCGCCGAUUGCCUUCACAGUGUUGUUUAUCCAAACUGAAGGUGUGUCAGUGAAAAAGAAAAUAAAAAUCUCAAAGUUGUUGAGAGGUUUCGUAUAGAGUGAGAGUUUGCGCAGGGCAGUUUGUGUGUUGAAUUGGAGGGGGCUUGAAUGAUGCAACCCUCCCACUAUUUAUAGUAGUAAACCUACUUCUGAUCGAAUCAAACCUAUACUCAGUUUAGGACUCCUUACCCCGAUCCAAUCUUAUCUCGGUCAAUCCUACUCCUAUUAGGACUUUGAACUUAACCCCUUAUCAGGCCGUAUUCAUUCCCAAAUUUCAGUAUCCUCAUCCUGCCGAGACUUCUUAUUGUAUCAGGAUUCAACUACCCCAUCCUGAUAGGACAUGGCCAGCCCCCUGAGCAAUGCUUCCUGGCCGAGAACCAUUCUAAACUCGGCCCAAACCAGUAUUUUGGGCCCAAACAGUUACAAAAAUGAAUUUAAACUAUAGGAAGGGAGAUUUGAACUUUGGGUGUGGAAGGAAGAAUACAUUGUUCUAACCAUUAGCUUAGGUCUACAAGGCUAUAAGGUACUUUCGACUACCUCAUUUAAAUUUAAACUAUUUCCUUAUGUUAGAAGAAAUUUUACCCAAGAUCACUAUCUUUCGAUCCAAAACAGAUAUUAUACUAUUUGUGUUACAGUAAGAUAAUAUGAUAUUAUACUGUUUGAGUUGAUGGUAAACAUGUGUUGAACUGUUGAUUAGUUAAGGAAAGCUAUAAACACUGUAUAAUUAACAAAAUCACCUUAAAUUUUUGGUAUACUUUUGAGGAGAUUCCUGCACUCCCCUUCUCACGUUCUUCAUUUCUCCCCUUAAAUUAUGUCUCCUAAUUCAUCUUUAUUUUUUUUAAUUUAAUGAAAAAGGAGAGUGCACAAGGUGGAAACAGGAGUACGUAGAUAAAACCAAAAAAAGAUGACAAUGAAAAGGUAUAGCCUUUUUGUAUCUUUCACAAGAAAAGAAAAUACGAUUAAAUUGUGUAAUCACGGUUACAACUAGUGCCAAUACAAUCAAAUAAGAGGGCGUUCCUUGCCACAUUGGCAAGGUUUUAUGCAGUGGCGGAGCCAGAAUUCUGAAUGAGGAGGGGCAUUUCACAAAUAUGUAUAUAUAUAUAUGAGUGUGUGUAAAAAGUUGAAUUCAUAACAUGUUGACAUAUGCAAUUUGUGUAAUCCUCACAAAAUUGAAAAAAAUUCUCUUAAAUUCAAUACUAAGAAGAAAAAAAUGUAAAAACCCAGACAACCAAGUAAGAGGUAGGUUGUGGAAGGCUAAAGAAAAUACAAAGAAGUAGAAAAAGAAGGAAAAGGGGGAGAGGUCUGCAAAUAAAGAAGGUGGGUUGCUUUAGAAAAUUACAAGGUGUAUAUUACUAUUAGGUGAGAGAAUCGAACUAGAAGUUGAGUUGCUUUUUUCAUUUAAAAUUGCACAUCUCUUUUAAAACUCCCCUGCCAAAUUUAUCGUUUCAUUAGACAGCCGAAAAGAUUUAAAAUCAAAACAGCUUAACGACGUCGUUUGCUUCAUCUUCUUUCAUGGGGUUCACACCUCAAAUGAAGUCAGGAUGGGUCGGGGACUACCCUAGUCCCUUGGUGGCUCCGCCCCUGGUUUUAUUCCAAAAAUAAAAAUUAUCAACCUUAAUGUCCUUUCUAACCAUUGCAUAUGCCACAAAAUUAGCCUCUCCAAAUGCAUGCUUCCAUGCGAUUGAAUCAAAGGAAGUCGUCAAACAUUUAAUAUCUUCAAUAAUGUUCUUCAGCCUCCAAGUAUUGAGCAACAACCAGCAACCACGUCAAUUACUAGCUUUGAGUCCCCUUCUGCACUCACAUUUUUGUAACCCCUCUUGUUUUUUUACUAGGUAUUGUAUAGUAGAUAGAAGGAUAUUAAUAAUUUUGCAAAAAAGAGAGAAAAAUACUCUUGAGAGAAAAGGAAGUCCUGCUGCAAUUUAAAGACGGAAAAACACAAGACAAAAACAGAGGUAUUUUGGAAUACCUCAUUUGAUUUUUAGUAACCUCUCUUUUUCUUCUCUCUCUUCCUGCCAGUCUCGAACCUAGGACCAGCUCGAUUGUGAGUGUAGCACAAAGUCAAGCUAAUACGUGUGAGACAGGCAUUGGAUUUCCGCAAGUAAUUAAAUUUAUAAGAGAGUGAGGCCUCGUUUGGCAGCUCGGACUGUACUGACUAUUUCUGUCGGAUAUGAUAAAUAGCCACCGGAUAGUACUGACUAAAUUAGUCGGGCGUUUGGUGCAGUAUCGGACUAAUGACUGUAUUAUUUAUACUGUGUUUGGUUUGGUACUCUAUUGGAUAAGAAACACAAAAAUAUUAUUAUAGCAUAUCCAGAUCUUGAAUACAACCUGCAACCAUAGAUGUCCAUGAGACAGUAUCCAACCUAGGAGUGCAGCAUCUCAAGCCAUAAUCGGAUAAACGCAAAGAAGAGUGGACAGUAUUCAACGCCUUCCAAACUUGAGCGUGAACUUGUUUCCUGUACUCAUACUCAAAAGAUUCAACCGAGAUAAUAACCCAAUUCACCAAAAUGCUCGAGGAUAAAAAAAAACAGGAGAGAAAUUCAUGAGGUAAUAAUCUACGCCAACCAAAAAGUAAACCAAUUUAGCAAAUUAACAGAGAUAAUAACCCAAUUCACCAAAAAGUUCAAAAAGUUCAAGAAGUUGGGAAAAAUCGCCCAACUAAUUUGUUCAACUGGGUUCAAAUUUUCAACAUACCAAACUCAAGAUCUUUGCAAUUCUUGCAAAAACCCAACCAAAUUGAUUUAUUUUCAAAUGAUUCGACCCAUACCAGGCAAACAAGCAAAAAAAAUAUAUAUAUACAGAUCAAUUUUUUUUUUUGAGAUUUGAAAAUUGCACAAAAAUAGGAGGAGGGCAGAACGGAGAGAGAAGAAGAAGAAAAAUAGAAGGAAGAGGGCGGAACAGAAGGGAGGAUGAGAACCUGGGUUCAGAUGAGAGAGCAAGCAACGCAAGAGAGGCGGAGAGAGCGAGAGAGGCUGAGUCUUCUAACCGACUAAAUAAUACCGUCCUUUUGGAAAGUAUAACUAAGCAGGUAUCAGCAGUACUAAUUAGGUUGGGCCGGAUUAUAUAAUCCGGUGCCUAUUUAAUCCAAACGGGCACCAAACACCGUACUCCGUAUUAUUAGUACUAUCCGGUACCUUAUACGGUGUGCCAAACAGGGCCUGAAAGUUCAAACAUAUCAUAUAGGUCCCAUAACUUAUUUUACAGAAAAAGUAAUUCAGAAAUCUAAUUUUCACUGAGGUGAUAGUUCAGGGACUAAAACAGCACUUCAUCCUAUCAUAUAUGAAGAUACUCUGGCAAUAUAUAAAAUGUUGCCUUUGGAUCUUGAAAAUUAAAUGUUAUCACUCAUCAAUAAAUUAUCUUGUUUUCUUUUUACAAUAUGAUAUUCUAAUCAUUCUAACUUAUAUAAAAAAAAAAAGAUUCAAACUUAGAUGCAAGGGGCAUACUGUAAUACCCUGAAAAUUUAAAACAUAUGAUUAUGUGGAAAUUUUUUUAUUGGGAAGUAAAAUGACAAAAAUGUUCCUUGUUGACGAAACGUAAGUUUAUGAGGACGUAUUCUAUCCUCAUAUGUCUUAUCGUAUUUCUUGGCAUAUUUGGAUAGAGCUCAACCCUACGAAGCUCAUAGGUGAAAAUUGUUUGCGAGUCCGGAUUAUAACUGUCUAGUUACAGAUAUUUGAAUUUGUGUUACAAAACUAAAGUUAUUAAAUAAAUUAAACUCCCACUAGGUGGGAAGGAGAAUGAAGGAAGGGCUUGGGUUUUCGCCCAAUCAGUUAAUGGGAAAGGAAAUAAAAUGAGAAAUAAAAGGGGAGGAGGGAAGAAACCCCCAUCCCAUCGACCCGUGCACCCACGACAACCCAGUUUUGAACUGGUGAAAUUCUGGGGGAUUCUCAACCAUUUUUCAGACGAUUUUCACCCCACCUUCACCUGCAAUCUCUUCCAUAACCUCUCCUCUAUCAUUUUAGCCCUAGAUUGAGGGGUUUAGGGCCCAAAUUCGUGAAGGAAGAUGCACGGCAUUAUGGGGGUUCAAUGGUGAUUCCUCCGAUCCGGCAGUUUCACGACCCUUAAUCAACUCCCCUUGGAUCCAGGAACAAGACCCGACUGGUUGUUGGGGUGUUGGAACAUCGAGGAGGUUGAAUCGAACAACACCCACCUUAGGGUUUCUGCGGGUUCGAGUCAAUUUGGAGCUUUUCCAGGUCAAAUUGGACUUAGCCACAUACAUAAAGUUUGUUCUACUCUUUGAGAUCUUUAUUUUUGUAAUUUUUGAGAAUUUUUAAGAAUAGUUGAAAUUUUCCUGCAAGUCAGGGUGAUCGACCGCCACCCAUGGCGACGCGUGCGGCGAUGCGUGGCUAGAGGGCCGUCAUUGCUUUUUUAGGCUAAAUUAGAUGUUCUGAAUUCAGUUUUGAUAUUCGUAUGACGUAGGUUGAUCGUUUGAACCUAAAUUCACUACGAUACGUUACUUGGUCAAUAUAGGAAUCGAUGAUUCGAUUGUUGGAUCAUCACCAAACUUUGAGACAUUAUAAUGCAUAAUAUUUGAGGACCUUGGGAACCUAUGGAUCGGGAAUCUGACGUACGGAUCUUUCCACCUUAGAUUUCUAAGUUUGUAAAAUAAAACGUCGACCGCCACUUGAAUUGUGAUUGGUGGAGAUCCGACUGUUGGAUCGUAAUGAAAUUUUAGUAUGUUGUUCUAGAAGCGUAAUGUGAACUACAAAUGGCUUGAUCCCUUCGUAAGGUACGUAGGCAGUCUAACGAGGAUGUUAGAUGCAGCCAUAAAAUAAUCCAAAUUUAUUAUUGUGCUAUAUUUCUUCUAGGAAAGAAAUUAUUAUGGUUAAUAGCGUGGAAAUUGGUCAUGAAUUUAUUUUGGCCUAUCAUCGGAUUUUAGCUUCCGAAUUAGAAAUUUUUUGGUCGUUACACUUACACUAAUAUGGCCAACAUUGUGGUGUAAAGGGAAAAUAAUGAAUUCUUUUGAUUGGGCACAAAUUAUCUCCUAGAUGUGAGUUUUGGCUAUAUAUUUUGAGACGUAAAAACAGGAAUGAUAAAUCUAUUAAAAAUAAAAUUCUUGUUAGAAAAGAAACUCUUACUGAAAAAGCUCAUAAGUCUGAAGACCCUCUCAACGUGGGACUUUUCAUGGACAUUCUGUCACCUCACAGUUUAACUUUAAUUUUCGUGCUAACAUUAUAAAACAUUAUGCAAAAAAAUGAGAUGGCAAGACGUCCAUAGAGAGUCUUACUUUUAAGUCUCCUUAAUAUGCUUAAGCAUUAUAAAACAUUUCUCUUAUUGUAUUUAUGUUUAAGCAUUCCUAGGCAUUUAGAAUCCAACUCAUUGAGGUAUAAUUUUAAUAUGCUUACCCAUUCAGGUGCGAAGCCUACUAAUCUUUGAGAUCGUCGUGAAACCUUCUUAAGAUAUUGUACUUAUUAGUUUUGUACAUGAUUUAGCCCAUGCACAAUCCCUCUCUAGCUCUACUCAUAUUGGUUGCCAACUAAUCUCACUGUUAAAUUUCAAACUCCAUCUCGCAUGCCUAGCUUCUCCAGGCACUUGCUUUUGGCAUGUUCUUAUUACUGAUCUAAUAAUAUUAUUAAUACAGAAAUACAAAGCCAACAAGUUACUAGAUGGUCGGAUGGUAGUAUAUCAAUCAUCAACUCGAUGUCAGACUGUUUGUCAAAUUCAAGACGUGCUGGACUUUGGGUGUAACACAAGUUAAAAAGUUACUAGAUGACCGAAUCCUAGUAUAUCAAUGAUUCAAAAGAAUUUAACGAGCAUAAAUGUUGCGUUAAACAUUGUUUCAGAAACGAAGGUUGGCUAAAAAUAUUGACAAAAGUUUGUCGACUAUAUUGGAGAUGCUGACUGAAGUUGCGCUGGCAAUCUCGAACGCAGGCCACCGGACUGAAAGUAGCACAAAAACAACAUGAUACGAGACUGGUUUAAGAAGGGCGCAAGUAAUUGAUAUAUAUCGAGCUGGAAGGGCUCCCUUAGGUUUGGUCUCUUGAUUGGGUGUUAACUAUUGAAAUUUUGAAACCCUAUUUUCUUUUGCUAGUUAAAAACAUAUUAAAGAGAGCAAGGGGGGAAAUGAACGACUCCAUGGCUCGUAAGACUUAUUUUGAAAACAUAAGAACAACAAGACAUUAGGAUUUCGAAUACGAUAACCAAAAUUGACUGAAAAGAAAUUAAAUUAUCUAGGAUUACAAAGGAGUCUUCAACUUUCAACAAACAGAAGUGUUCCAGCAAUGAUUUGCUGAAGAUGAAACCUGUAUAUUGUGAAAGCACAGACUGCCUAUAUAGUGUGAAAAGACUUCCACUAAUCUGUUCUAUUAUUGAUUAGUGGGGAUUUGCCAAAUCAUAGGAUAACAUAAGAGUCCUAAUUGAUAUUGAUUUCUUGUCUAAUCAAAUAAGGCAUCUUGAUUAGUUGCACGGAAUAAGGACUCCAAAUCUUAAUUAAACGAGAUUCCAUAAUUUUCUCAACACCAAUUAACUUGUUGACCAAGUUAACUGAUUGCCAAGAAAUUAGUAAAUCAUAUUCAUUGAUACUCACAAUCUUACAUGGUUACCAUCUUAAGCUGAAGGCUGUAUUUAUAUGGUGAUUAGGGGAUGAAAAAUUAUGAUUUUGACAAAAAGAGACUAACUUGCUUUAGGAACAAACGUUGGCUCAACAAAUGGUGUUUCAAAACUUGAAUGUUGUUUUGAUCUCUUAAAAACUGUCUUUCGUCGGGUGAUUACCAAACAUCAAUGUAUGAAAACUAAUGAAUAUUUCCACAAAAAAGGAGUAAUUGCAAAAGUAGUAGUAAAAAACAGAGGUAUUUUGGGACACCUCAUUUAGCUUUGAAUUAAGGUCUCUAUAUAUAGUCAAUUGAGGUGUCAACUGUCAAGGAUUGGAUGGAAUUGGAUUGGAUUGCUGCCAGUCUCGAACCUAGAACGACCUGGAUUGUCAAUGUAGCACAAAACCGACAUGACACAAGAGACCGGCUUUAAGCUGGCUCAAGUAAUUAAUAUUAAUAUAAUAUGCAAGGCGAAAGGACUCUGUGGUUCUGGUACAAUGAACCAAAUCACCUAGAUCGGCUUUAAGAUGUGUGUUCUAGGGUGAUUCGGUUCAUUGUACAAGUUAGAGUGGUUCGGUUGAUCAUACAAGUUAAGAGCUUACAUGUCAAGAUCACAUCAAUAACGUUUAAGAUCUCUCUCACACACGCACAAAUAAUUGUACAUUUACGGGCAUUGAAUUCAUGGAUCCAUCUUAACACUAAAUUAUCGCUUUUCCUUCUCCACUUGGGCUAAUUCCAAGAGUUUGGAGCGCACAUAUAUUGAUUUUACCAAGUUGUAGAGAAAAAUAAUUAUCAUUCAUCUAUGCUAGAAAAUGAAAUGUUCUAUCACCUUUUCCACAUAUUUUGAUAUUACUAAGAAUAGUUUUAUUUGUCAUUUAAAUAAUGUUAGUAAAACGGUAACAAAAUAGAGGUAUAUUAGAAUACCUCAGUUUUUGUAACAUUUUUGGACUUAAUCAUCAUCAGUUGAACUCUAAGACUUGCUACACUUUCGAUGUAGCACAAAGCCAACAAGUUAGUAAACCAUCGGACGGUACUAUCCAUGUGUUAAUGCUCAAACCUGUAACGUUAGCAAACUUAAAUAAAUGAUUUUAGGUGGGCUAAUUAAAUGGACUCAAAGAUGUAAGUGGGUCAACCCUCAAAACUGACUAUUUCCAUUGUGUUGUUCUCAAUAUAUUGAUUUCAAAACUAUAUAGUGCUCAGCUAAUAUAUUUACUCUAUUUUCUCUUAUUCAUCCAACCCCAUAAUAGAGGUUUCUACCCCUUUAUAUGGGUCUCACCCCCUUGGGGCCUCUCAAACCAACAUUUAAUGUGCCAACUACUUGUACUAGACUACUCACAACUUUUCAACUACUUGGCUUGGGCUUUGUGAACGAAGUGACGUUCUUGCAGUCGGCUGACACCGUCUUUUAAGGGCCAAGUUGCCCGAGCAUCUUGCUCGGACCUCGAUUACUUUGCCUUACCUUGCCGAGCACUGCCUCGACUACCUUUAUUUCUAAUUCUAGGCCUCUGUUAUUGCUUGCAUGUUGUUGAGUAGUCCAAGUAGCAUUUGAGCACUUUUGUUCUCAGUGACUUAUGCCAUAAUAUUUCCAACACACCCACGUUCUCUUCUUGGUCAAUUGGUUUGUCAUGUGUCUCAGUAGACUUGAGCAAACAAGUUGGCCUGCUCUAAACCCCUUGGGCAUUGGGCAUUGGGCUUCUUGGCUUUUCUUUGGGCUUAUGUCCUUGAAUGAGUCUAAAUGGGCCCAACAUUAGCAAGUUCCCCAAUUCUUUGGUCAAGGGCCUUAUCUUGAUCAUGGUGUUGCAGUGGUCGAUCAGUGCUUCAGGUUGCACUCAACCAUCCAUUUCUUGUUUCUUUGUGAUGUUUUUGAAUUAUUACCCUAUUUUAUGUUAAUGUGCAACUAAUUGUAUUUAAAAUCCAUUUAAGGGAAAAAUGGCAAAUUGGUGCUUGCAGUGAAGAAUUAAAGAUUGAUGGUGAUAGUGGAGAAUUGAAGAUUAAUGUUGAUUUAAAGGUCCAAAUGGUGUUUAGAAUUAAUUCAAGAUGAAUAUGGACCUUUAGAAGACCAAUAGUUGAAUGUUAAAGAGUAAUUGGGAUAUCUAGCCUGAUUUGGAGGUGCAAGUCAAGGAAAAAAAAUGUUCAAAAACUUGGCUUAAUGGUUGGGAUCACCUUGCAAUCUGAUGCAGCUUCUUUUGCAUAUAAAUACUAGGGUUUCACAUCAUUUUGAUACAAGCCCCCUCUUGAGCACGAACACAAUUCUCCAUCUCAUCUCUCUGCCACCAACGAAACCACGCAGCCGCGUUGUGCUCGAAGGAAUUCCACAUCAGAAUUGCUUCAAGGGGUUUCUUCUAUUAAUUUCACUCUUGAUGUUCUUCAUAUUAAGUUUAACAUAUAUUGCGAUUAUGUUGUGUAAUUAGGUUUGUUUGUACCAUACUUGACCAAUCCCGAAACUAUUGAGCACCGGUCAACGUUAUACCGUCAAGGACCCAGAAGAGCUUCCCUUCAACCAGGAGGCCAAUCACAAUGCGACACGUGUCAACAUCAGAAGCCAAUCACAGCUCGACACGUGUCAACAUCAGAAGCCAAUCACAACACGACACGUGUCAAUGUUAGAACAAAACUAGAAACUCUCUUCUAUAAAUAGGGAUCAUUCUCCCACAAUAAUCUUUAAUGUCAUUUUGUACUAAACUAUUCACUAGAACUCACAAAAUGAGAGCUUGAACCUAUGUAUUUGUGUAAACCCUUCACAAUUAAUGAGAACUCCUCUACUCCGUGGACGUAGCCGAUCUGGGUGAACCACGUACAUCUUGUGCUUGCUUCCCUGUCCCUAUUCAUUUACGUACUUAUCUUCACUAGUGAUCGAAGCAACCAAGCGAAUGUCACAAACCUGACACUUUCUGUUGUACCAAAGUCCUCGUUGAUUUUGUGCAUCAACCUUUGGCGCUGUCUGUGGGAAAGACACUUACUCCCACUCUCUUCAGCUUUGUUAAGCUGGUUUCCACCACUCGUACACUUUCUUAUGGCCAAACAUCUCUCUCCAACAUGGGGAGCGAAAGAAGCCAUAGCACACAGAAUGACACCCCCAUUGGACCUAGUAUGAAGCAACGAAAGCAGGAAGGAAAUAGAGUUACUCUUCAAGCUAAAGUCGAUGAGUUAGAAGCUCAGAACAACAAGAUAGUGAUGAGGAACGAGGUCCUCCAGGAGCAGUAUGAAAAACUUUUUGAGAUGCUUCACGAGGCUAGGCAUGCUUAAGCACACAAGCUCGUCGCCCCUGCUGAGGUCAACAAUCAUCUGAAUGCCCCCCAACACGAAGGGUCACCGAUAUCCAACACGGACAUCCCUGAUAGGGAUCGAGCUACACAUCAAUGUGAUAAUCAACAUGAGACUUCUCUCAACCCAGCUGCUUUAACCCGAAGCAGAAGGAGUAGAGGAAAGCACCUCCUCACAGAAGGAGUGGAAGGAUCAAAAGCCGUCUAUCGCGAUUGUCGAGACUUCCUAAAGCAACGUCGAGAGAAUCCCAUCCACAUAAGCUCGAAGAUCAAUGACCCAAGAGUUUCUGAAAGACUAUGUCCUCUCCCACGACCCAGGCCAGCAGUUAAUCUAGGGAAUGGGCAAUAAGUCCCAGAAGAACAUGAAGGUACAGGGGACUCGGAAAUGUUCCGACAUACUCACUCUAGGAGUCAGUGUGACGAGUCCAAGGAAAAAUCAUGCUAUCUUGAUCAAACUUUCCUACUUCCAAGAGGCGAUGGGGACUUACGGAAGAAAACUUCAGUGAUGCACAACUCCACUCAGGACCCCCUUGUCCUACAGCUUCUGGAAGAAGUAAACAAGUUGAAGGCUGAACGUCAAGUCGAGAUACCUGACUGGAACCAACCCAGGCCUGGCCCCCUCACAAGAAGGAUCCUCAACACCCCUCUCCAAGCGAAGACAAAGUAGAAGCUUGACUUACAACUCUAUACUGGAAGGGAAGACCCGAUUGAACACCUUAACCUCUUUGAGUCCACCAUGGUAUACCGGAGACACACCGAUGAAGAACGGUGCCUUCUUUUCCCCUCCACCCUCUCUGGCGGAGCUUUAAACUGGUAUUGCCGUCUUCCACCCAAGAUGGUAGACUCAUUUGAAGGUUGAGGAAGUUGUUUGUCUCUCAACACAUCUUCCAGACCGAUCGCUUGCAUUCCGUAGAUGACUUGUACACUAUUCGCCAGAAGCCGGACGAGUCAUUACGAAAGUAUGCUGGCCGCUUCAGCCAUAAGUAUUUCGGCUGCGCUGAGGCAGAUGACAAGACCGCCCUCAAGGCCUUCACGGCAGGCUUACGUGACUGUUUCUUCAAGUACAUGAUCAAUGCCAACACUUGGAAGACUUACUCUGAGGUGAUGGCACAAGCUUACAACCAUGCCUCUGCCGAGGCAAGGACAUAUCAAGGGAAACCCCUUACAGUCACCCCUUAUCAGCAAGUAGGGAGUGGAGGCCAGAUCCAACCGAAUGAAAAGACCUCAACCUUCCAAACGGUAGCAGCACACCCCCCGGCCUCAUUUAAUGCUUCGCCAAGUCAGCAGACAUAUCAAUCCAAGGGCAAAAGGAAAGAUUUCCAUCCUCACCAAUCUCAUUUUAAUAAAAAGAAUAAGGGGCACUAUCGGGAUAACUCAGGAUAUCGUCACAAUAACGCCCGUCCCUAGGCAGUCAAUGCAGUGGGCCAAUCACAUGUCAAGACAGGCCCUACCCCGAGGUAUGAGACAUACACACCUUUGAACGCUACAUGCGCGGCCAUCUACCCCAGUAUAGCUCAUCUGAUACCAAAGCCAAAGCCAAGACAGCCAGAUUACAAGUCCACCAAAAACACGGGCAUGUUUUGCUGCUAUCACGAGUAUAAUGGCCAUGAUGGCGAGAAGUGCGUCAUCCUCCGUGAUCAUAUUGAAGCUUUGGCACGUGAAGGAAAAAUCGAUCAGUUCCUCCUUCACCCUCCAAGGGAUAACCGUAACCAACGCCAGGUGAAUGUGAUAUAUUCUAUAAGCGGCGGCACACCUAUGUCUGAAUCUUCCAAUAGGGCCAUGAAAAACAGUGAACGAACUUUGAGACCUGGCCAUCAAGUGUUUCACGUGGAAGACAUCAGGGGAGGCAAGUAUCAAAAGCCUAACUGGGAUCCAAUAUGUUUCUACCCUGAGGAAGAAAGAGGUAUCAUCUACCCUCACAACGACCCACUGAUCGUGGAGGCUCACAUAGCAAAUUUUGAUGUGAAACGAAUCCUGAUAGACACAGGUGCUUCAGUCAAUAUCAUGUUUGCUGAAGCUUUCAAGGCAUUUAAUGUAGCUGAACACUUGCUCGAUCGCUCGAUUUCUCCUCUGAUAAGCUUCUCUGGCGAUAUCGUGCAACCUUUAGGGAGUAUACAUUUACCCCUCACCAUUGGUACAGGCCCCUACACAGCUACUAUUACCACUAACUUCCUAGUGGUCAAUUGCCCGACGGCAUACAAUGUCAUCUUUGGGCGCACAGGCAUCAAUGAUCUCAAGGCCAUGGUAUCCACACAUAUGUUGUUGAUGAAGUUUCCAACCCCUUUCGGCAAUGGAUACAUCAGGGGAGAUCAACUUAGUGCUCGAUCAUGUUACAACACUUCAGUUAAGCAACAACACCUGCCUGUCCCCAAGGAGACCCUCUCUAUACAUAACCAAGUAGUAAAGACCAGUCCAGAUGAAGCCAACUCAGAUCUUCAUAAUGGCAACAGUCAACCCGAUGACCCUCGAGAUGACUCAUUCACCCAGCAAGCACAACUCGCUGAAGAGUUAGAGAAUGUCUCUAUCUCCAAAGACCAUCCAGAUCGCAUGGUGAAGAUUGGCACCACUUUGUCACCACCCAUUCGGUUGUCGUUGAUCUCAUUUUUGCAAGAGAACGCCGAGGUCUUCGCUUGGUUAUAUAAAGAUAUGCCGGGCAUCUCUCCCGAUAUUAUCUGUCACCACUUGAGUAUUGAUCCCAAGACCAAACCAGUAAAAUAGAAGCGAAGAUCUUAUGAUGUUGAACGAUACGAGGCGAUGAAAGCAGAAGUUGAAAAACUCAAGGACAUAGGCUUCGUUCGUGAAGUCAAUUACCUAACAUGGGUAGCAAAUGUUGUCCUUGUUAAGAAAAAUCCGACCAAGGAAAGUCUCCUGCUUCAAAAGGUCUUGUGGAGAAUGUGUGUCGACUACACCGACCUAAACAAAGGAUGCCCAAAGGAUAGUUUCCCCCUUCCUCUCAUUGAUAGACUUAUAGACUCUACGGCAGGGUGUGAGCUCUUGAGCUUCAUGGACGCUUAUUUAGGAUACAACCAAAUCCUCAUGAACCCCUCAGACCAAGAACACACAGCCUUCACUACUGACAGGGGACUAUAUUGCUACAAAGUCAUGCCAUUCGGUCUAAAGAAUGCAGGAGCAACUUAUCAGAGACUGGUCAAUUUAAUGUUCGCCGAACAGAUUGGGAAGAGCAUGGAAGUUUACGUUGAUGAUAUGUUAGUCAAGAGCAAACAUGCUGACCAACACAUCACCAACCUAUCUGAAACUUUCACCAUUCUAAAGAGGUAUCGAAUGAGGUUGAACCCCAACAAAUGUGCCUUCGGCGUGGGCUCUGGCAAAUUCUUAGGCUUCAUGAUUAGCCAACGAGGCAUUGAAGCUAACCCCGAAAAGAUCAAAGCAAUCCUCGACAUGAAAGAGCCAGUAACUUCAAAAGACAUCCAAAACCUUACUGGCAAGGUGGCAGCCUUAACCAGAUUCAUCUCUAAGGCCACAGACAGAUGUGCUUCUUUCUUCAAAGCACUCAAGGGAAAUAAGAAGUACAUUACAUGGACGGAGGAAUGUGCCAAGGCAUUCAGGAACCUCAAAGAAUACAUGAGUAAAGCCCCUCUGCUCUCCAAACCAGAAGUUGGUGACACUCUCAUUAUUUAUCUAUCGGUCUCGGCUUCAGCAGUCAGUUCUGUUCUUAUCCGAAAUGACAGUGGUGUCGAACGGCCCGUCUACUAUGCUAGCAAGGCCCUACAAGAUGCGGAGACACGAUACUCCAACAUUGAGAAAUUAGCUCUAGCAUUGGUCAUGUCUGCUCGAAAACUUCGCCCUUAUUUCCAAGCACACGCCAUCAUCGUGCUUACCAAUCACCCUCUUCAACAGAUACUCCAGAGUCCUGACACGUCUAGGCGAAUGAUCAAAUGGGCGAUAGCAUUGGGUGAGUUUGACAUCUCCUACCAACCAAAACCAGCCGAAAAGGGUCAAGCAGUAGCAGAUUUCAUCGCCGACUUCACAUAUCCUGUUGACAUUGCUUCUACACCUGAAGCAAUAGCUUCAUUACCAUCGGAAGCUCAGAAGAUAGGAUCAACAACCCCAGCAUGGAGUCUGUAUGUUGAUGGUUCAUCCAACCAAUAGGGCUGCGGAGCAGGAUUAGUCCUCACUACCCCUGACAAAGUGGCGAUAGAAUACGCUCUUCGUUUCAAAUUCAAGGCAUCGAACAACGAGGCCGAAUACGAAGCCCUUCUAGCAGGCUUACGUUUGGCCAAAGCACCUUGGAGUUAAACAAAUUGAUAUCUUCAGUGACUCCCAAUUAGUGGUCAACCAAGUCACCGAACAACUUUGAUGCUAAGGAUAGCUCCAUGGCAGCAUAUCUUGCGCAAACACAACUUUUGCUCAAGCACUUCCACUACCAGAUCACCCAAGUUCCUCGAGCGGCAAACAGUCAUGCAGACGCUUUGGCCCGCCUCGCCUCGGCAGUGGAAGACAAGAUUGGGAGAAAAAAAUUCAUGUCGAAUUGUUGGCAGCACCAAGCACCAUGGUCGCGGAAGUGUGCAACUUACAACAAGGAAAUAGUUGGAUUACCCCGAUUUAUAAAUUCCUUGCCCAUGGCACCCUUCCCAAAUGACAAAGUCCAAGCUAAGAAGAUUCGAUACAAGUCUGCUCGUUACCUGAUCAUUAAUGACCAACUCUACAAGCGCGGUUUUAACCCUGCCCUACCUAAGAUGCCUUACACCUGCAGAGGCGGAAAUUGUCCUUCAGGAAAUACAUGAAGGAGUCUGCGGAGAUCAUGCUGGAUCUCGAUCCCUAGCACACAAGCUUUUCGCCAAGGAUACUACUGGCCAACACUCCACCAAGAUGCCAUCAGAAUAUCUCGCUCAUGUGAUAAGUGUCAACGCUACGCAACUAUUCCUCACUCCCCUCCCGAGCCGCUCACUCCUAUGAUCAGCCCUUGGCCCUUCGCCCAAUAGGGACUUGAUUUGAUCGGCCCAAUGCCUGCAGGGAAGGGCAAGGUUCCGCUAUGCAAUCGUUGCAGUUGACUAUUUCACAAAGUGGGCUGAAGUAGAACCCUUGGCAACCAUUACUGAGGGAAAAAUAGAAGACUUCGUAUGGAAGAACAUCCUCUGUAGAUUCGGCAUUCCCAAUGCGAUAGUCACUGACAAUGGGCGGCAGUUCGAUAACAAGAAGUUCAAGAUGUUCUGCUCUAAGUUCAACAUCAACUUAUGUUUUGCCUCUCCAGCCCAUCCCCAAUCUAAUGGACAAGUUCGAAGGCCAUUAACAAAAUAAUCAAGCGCACUUCUGAAAACUAGCUUGGACAAAGGCUAAAGGUUGUUGGCCAGAAUUUGUACCCCAAGUUCUUUGGUCAUACCGCACUUCGUAUCGGACAUCAACAGGAGAAACCUUCAUUCUCACUUGCCUUUUGGUACAGAAGCAGUUGUCCCAGUUGAGCUUGAGCAAGCAACGUUCCGAAUCCAGAACUACGUGCAAGAGUGAAAAUGACAAACAACUUACCCUCAACUUAGAUCUAGUCGAGGAACACAGAAACCAGGCUCACUUGAGGAAUGUCGCCUACAAGCAGCGCAUUUCCAACUACUAUGACUCAAGGGUCAAACCUCGUUCUUUCAAAGUGGGAGACUGGGUAUUGAAGAAAAGAUUACUCUGUGAUAGAGUCCCGAGUGAAGGAACACUUAGUCCAAACUGGGAUGGAACCGUUUGAAGUUGUCAUGGCAUCAGUCGCCCUGGCUCCUACAAGCUUAGAAACUCCGAUGGCAAGACCCUUGGCCAUCCAUGGAACGCUGAUCACUUGAAGUACUAUUACAAAUAAGACUCACAUUGUACAAGUGUUAAGCUUACAGCCGUUCGGCAUCCUAUGUAACAAAGACCAUUUGGCAUGAAUUCAAUAAAGAGGUGAUUUAGACAACUCGGCCCUAAACUCUUUUACAUUCCUGAGCAAUGAAACACUCAAAUGUUGAAGCUUCAACGCAAAUGUUUCCAAUACAAAACAAAAUCUAAGUAUGUGUCAACAAGACUAUACAAAGGAUCUACAUCAUACAUUCCAACACAUUCAUACAUAAACAUCAUACAUUCCAACACAUUCAUACAUAAACAUCAUACAUUCCAAUACAUUCAUACAUAAACAUCAUACAUUCCAACACAUUCAUGCAUAAACAUCAUACAUUCCAACACAUCCAUACAUAAGCCAACUGUGCUUCGAAAGGGUUCAACACACUUUGUGUCAUUCGACACUUGCUACAAUGUGCCUCGACACCUUGCCCUUAUUCUCACCAACUAGGUGAUGAAGGAACUCACCUUCGUACCACUAACUAGGUGAUGAAAUGUAUAACCCGUACUCUAAUAUUAUUUGGAAACUUGCCACCCUUAUCACCAAUCAGGUGAAGAAGGAACUCAUCUUCAUGCCACCAACCAGGUGAUGAAAUGUACAACGCGUACUUUCCUUCAUGCCACCAACCAGGUGAUGAAAUGUACAACGCGGACUCUCCUUCAUGUCACCAACCAGGUGAUGAAAUGUGAUGAAAGGUGAUUAAGGAAUUCACAUUCGUACCACCAACCAAGUGAUGAAAGCAACCCACCAUUCAUUCCACUAACCAGAAGACGAGUGGUACAACUUGUACAUGUGAACUCCUAGCAUUCACAAAUAAUUAAAAACCAUCAAGCUUUACAACUCAACUAGGGGAGCACUUAUGCCUAACAAGAGCUAUAGUCACCAACAAAGUCUUAUUGCAAGCCAACAAUGGCUUCAGUGCAUGGUAUACGAAGAUCAAGCUCUUCAGCCCUCUUGCAUCUGCUUCAGACAUUUCUCCUCUGUAACAAUGCAAACACUACAACUCAUAGAAAGCUUCACACGCUCUUGAUCAAGACUGUUCGAAGCAAAUUCAAUUUAUAUGGUUCAUCCAAACCUUCGACUACUACAAGAUGUGGCUUGCAUCACAAUCUCUCGCUUAACAGUAUGGAAGCAAAAUUUGUAUACGUUGUCUCUCCCACAUUUUCAAAUUUCUAGUUUUCCCCAAAAAAAAAAAAAAAAAAAAAAAAAAAAAAAUGGAAAUUGGAAAUUGGGAAAUUCAACAAAGCUUCAUCAAUGGAACACAACUACAAUCCUCAAAAGCUUCGCAUUAUCUUCAUCAAGAUAGUGUGAAGCAAAAUCAAUUUAUGGUGCCAACAAAAGCUUCAUCAAUGGAGGACAAAUAUCAAUCUCAAAAGCUUUGCACUAUCUUCAUCAAGAUAGUGUGAAGUAUGGUGCCAACAAAAGCUUCAUCAAUGGAGGACAAAUAUCAAUCUCAAAAGCUUUGCACUAACUUCAUCAAGAUAGUGUGAAGCAAAAUCAAUUUAUGGUGCCAACAAAAGCUUCAUCAAUGGAGGACAAAUAUCAAUCUCAAAAGCUUUGCACUAUCUUCAUCAAGAUAGUGUGAAGCAAAAUUAAUUUAUGGUGUCAACAAAAGCUUCACCUAUAAAGCUUCAACCCCAAAGCUUCACCUAUAAAGCUUUAACACCAAAAGCUUCACCUAUAAAGCUUCAACCCUUCAACACCAAAGCUUCACCUAUAAAGCUUCAACACCAAAGCUUCACCUAUCAAGCUUCAACCCCAAAGCUUCACCUACAAUACAAAAUUUCACCACCAAAACAUAUAAAAGCUUCACACACUCUUCAUCAAGAUAGUGUGAAGCAAAACCAAUUCAUGAUGCCCAACAAAGCUUCAACCUCAAAGCUUCACCUACAAAGCUUCAACACCAAAGCUUUUAAAUAUAUAUAUAUUAUUUUUAAUUUUUAUUUUUUCGGAAAUUCGAAAAUUCAAAAAUCCGGAAAUUUGAAAAUUCAAAAAAAAUAAAAAAAAAUAAAAAAAAUAAAAAAAAUUGCCUAGGCCUCAUCUUCUUUGGGCCUAACAACUUUCAUAACAAAUAUAUAUGAAGAAGGAGUUUUGGGCUACCACUUAGAAAGGAAAUGCCUCAUUCGUCAACUCCCUCGACCAGAGACUUGGGGGACUCCUACCAUAUGCUACUGCACCUUGAUACUCGGAAGUCUCACGACCACUUAGUGACUUGGAUUUUUCAAGUCUCCAAACGAGAAGUUUUCCUCACUCGGGAAAUUAAGGGAGCACUACCUCAACCUACAUGCUUCACUCACAAAGUUUCAACAUACAAGCUUCAACAAAAGAAAAAAUUCAAAGAACUUAAUGAAGAAGGCCUUGGUGUAUUUAACACAAUACGUUGAAAUGAAGCAAAUCUUGUUUAUUGAUAUUUCUGAUAAGUUACAAAUAUGUACAUAUACAUGAAUCAAAAUAAACAAACAAGAGGGAGCUUUCACAAAGGUUGCUCAGGGGAAGUCUCAGCAGUCGGUAGAGCCCCAGAAAGAGAAAGCACCGGAGGUUGGUUAUCCGGAGCCUCAGUACUGGAUAGAACCCCAGAAGGAUGAGGCAUUUGAGGUUGAUCAUUUGGAGCUUCAUUACGCGGUACAGCCCCAGAAGACGACGGCAAUAAAUGCCUUUGGAACAAACCCACAAACCGCUGAUGAUCAAGUAAAACCUGACCAUCAGAUUCCUUCAUUUGGUCAAGCUUUCUCUUCAUGUUUGUAACAUAGUCAUGUGCGAGCCGGUGCAACUGUUUAUUCUCAUUCUUGAGCCCUCUAAUCUCCUGUUUGAGACUCAUCACUUCAGCAGCCAAUGAUUCAACUUGGCGGGUUCUAGCAAAUAGGCGUUGGGCCAUAUUAGACACAGAAGCUGCACACUGAACACUAAAAGCCAGAGAAUCCUUAACAGCCAACUCAUCAGACCGUUUGGAAAGUAGUCUGUUAUCUUUGGGAGUAAGAAGGUUCCUGGCCACCACCGUAGCGAUCAUAUCAUUUUUCAUCACAGAAUCCCCAACGGUAAGAGGACCAGUAGGAGAUAUGAAGGAUGGCUGCCAUAUGUUGUCUGGAGAAGGCGUGGUUGUCUCUUCUCCAAGGUUCAAGUCAAAACGACGGUCGGAGGGGCCAGACAUUUUCAAAGGUAUUGAAGAGAGAAAAGGUCGGACAAAUCAAGAUCUUAGAAGUGCAAGAAUGGAGCUUCUACUGGUGGAGAUUCAAGUAUGCUUUGGAACUUAAUGCCAGCCCCUAUAAAAAUCUGCACUCGACGAAGCUUCAAAAAUCGAAGAGGCGUUUGCUUUCUCAAAAGCUGGCCUGCUCAGAAACCACGAGGGCCAAUCUCAAAAAUCAAAGAGGCGCUUCCUUUCUUAAAAGCUGGGCUACUCAGAGACCACGAGGGCCGAUCUCAGAAAUCGAAGAAGCACCUGUUUUUUCAGCCUCGUCAGCACCUGUCACAUGCACACUCAGCUUUGCGGAAAUUACGGGCAAUUUGUCGAAGAUUUCUGGUGAAGUAGAAAGCACGCGAAUCUUGUUGUUCAAUCACCACUCUCCACACGCACCAUCAACUCCUCGGGUACCACAUAUAACUUUGCCAAAGAUCUCUGACAAAGUUUAGGCGCGAGAAUUUCGAAGUUCCAGCUACCCUACUAUUACCCACAAGGGUAAAGGAACAUCACCACUGCUUGACAACUGGAAAGUCCCUAUGUGUGUCGACCUCCGUGUUCUGUGGCAAGACAGGCUGGCAAGAACGUCCAAUCUUUACUCACAUUCGAGAAAAGACUCCCAACAUAAUUACUUCUCAAAAACCGAAGCGGCACCGCUUUCCGAAUCUCGAGAGCCAGAUCCCCGACGGGAUUGCUUGUUAGAAAACCGAAGAGGCACAGCUCUUAGAACUUCGAGAGCCAGAUUUCCUUAGAUAAAGCUUGUCUGUAAUCUUCACACGCAACAUUAGCUUUCCAGAUACCACAUACCACUUUUUCAAAGUGCUCUGACAAAGUUAAAACACGUGAAGCUGGCAGCUCCCACUACAUUGCUGUGACCAAGAAGGGUAAAGGAAUAGCAUUACUACUUGUUAUUGGGAAAUCCCUAUAUACAUCGACCUCCCUCCUCAACGGAUAGGCAAACCUGCAAAAAUGCUCAACCCUUUCUCGCAUUCGAGAAUGCACCCUCAACAUAUAACCUCUCGAAAUACUCAGCUUUAUUUCGCCCCGAUAAUACCUCAGCAAAUAAGCCACACCAAGAACAAGAGUAUCUCAUAUCAUCAGGGUCGAAAGCAAGAGUAUCCCAUAUCAUGCUUUCUCCCUGUCCUUGUCUUCGUCCUUGUCCACACCUGCAGGACAAAGAGAAAGAGAGCAGUCAGUCGGAACCUGAAAUCAAACCUCCAAUCUGGAACUGAUUGCCUGAGACCUUUCCCUGGUUGCUUACUUAGCAUUGCUCUCGAGAACUCAUCCUCAACUGCUGUCAAGGUCAUGAAUUCCACCGGCACAUACCUCAUGACAGUUGAUCAGAUAUUGGCUCUUUACACUGAAGCUGCCAAGCGUGGAUGGGUCACUAUGAAGGAAUGUUCUGAAGGACCAUUUAAAUGCAAAGGUUGCACACCACUUCUGCCAUGCAAAAGAUUAAAGCAGAAGGUUCAACGGUGAGCUGAAACAGAUCACUACAGCACGACACCUUUCCAUACCACAUUCAUUAUUCCGUCAACAGCAAAAGUAUCCCAUAUCAUCAAGGUCGAACGUACUUUAGAUUUAAUGGACUUAUUUUGACCCUCAAAUUCUUGAGUCGGCCUUAUACUCUGAAGGGAACCAGAAAACCCUCCAGCACAGUUCAAGAAUAAGCCUGUGGAAAGUUACUUCUUCAAAAGCAAAAGUAUCUCAUAUCAUCUCUUCUCCAUUUGCUUCUCCUUAUCCUGGCAGCUGAAUGAGAGACAAGGAGAAGGAGAACAAUCAACCGGAAGCCGAAGUCGAACCUCCGAUCCUGGGUUGCUUGCUUGGAAGUUUGACUGCUUACCUUGUCUGUCACCUCUUUCGGCAGAUCUCCUAGCUCGGCGACUUGGGGGACUCCUACUAUAGGGUUUGUAUCGCACUUGACCAAGCCCGAAACUACAAGUAAGCUUCAAGUGAAAUUGAUACAUUACCUUGUGCAUCUUCAUCGGUUAAAGAUACCACCCAUGGAUGGAGGAAAAGUUUUCCAGAGAAGAUGCCACAUCUACAUGAGACAGAUAAGGCACGUGAAAAUGAUACCACACUUCAGUACUUAGAAGUUUCGUGAUUACUCAAUGGCUUGGAUCUUGCAAGUCCCCAACCGAGGAGUUUCCCUCACUCGGGAACUUAGGGGAGCACUGUUUGUACCAUACUUGACCAAUCCCGAAACUACUGAGCACCGGUCAACGUUAUACCGUCAAGGACCCAGAAGAGCUUCCCUUCAACCAGGAGGCCAAUCACAAUGCGACACGUGUCGACAUCAGAAGCCAAUCACAGCUCGACACGUGUCAACAUUAGAAGCUAAUCACAACACGACAUGUGUCAAUGUUAGAACAAAACUAGAAACUAUCUUCUAUAAAUAGGGAUCAUUCUCCCACAAUAAUCUUUAAUGUCAUUUUGUACUAAACUAUUCACUAGAACUCACAAAAUAAGAGCUUGAACCUAUGUAUUUGUGUAAACCAUUCACAAUUAAUGAGAACUCCUCUACUCCGUGGACGUAGCCGAUCUAGGUGAACCAUGUACAUCUUGUGCUUGCUUCCCUGUCCCUAUUCAUUUACGUACUUAUCUUCACUAGUGAUCGAAGCAACCAAGCGAAGGUCACAAACCUGACACUUUCUGUUGUACCAAAGUCCUCGCUGAUUUUGUGCAUCAACAAGGUUCAUAGCUAAGGUUUUGGAUGUAACCUUGCAAAAGUAUUCUUUGUCAUAUUAAGUUUAAGUGUUCAAGUUUCCAAUCUGUUUUCUUGUUUCAUUCACUGUUGUGGGACCAUGAUUUUUCAGGGCUAGAGUAAGGUUGAUCCGAAUACUACUACCUCAGAAGUUUGGUCAUGGGUUCACUAGCUCCGGGCAGAGCUGUAUCAGACGAAGCAAGAUGCCACCAUCAUUCUGCUUCAGGGCGCUAGGCAGAGCCCAAGCGACUCCAUCGAAUGACCAUGCUUGUUUCACAAGAUAUGGGAUUUGAUAUGAAUAUGGACUCAAUCAAAUCCUAUAAGUCUUGGAGUCCCUACAAUCUAGGAAUAGGCGUGCACCACAAGUAACCAUACUCCUAAGAGGAUGCAAUAUCUACUUACUAGAUAUCCUCUUGAAUUCUCCUAGUUUAAAACAAGGAUUCUAUCCUAAAAAGGUCUCUCUCCCACGGUAACACCCAUCUAGGGUUCAUCUAUGGUAAUGCAAUCUAUACAUUUGAAUUCUCGUACCCACUGCUUGAGUCUCAAAUCAUUCACUAAUUUGAUUGUCGGAGAGCCUUUGGCCGGUACACACACCCCCUGGGCUAAGGGUUUGCUUACGUAAAUUUCAUGUUUUGCAGGUUGUUCUAGCCUACACGGAUUUAUGGUCAACCACUGGUUUCAGAGGUAUGCAUAUUUAGUUCCAAUGACUGUGCUUAAUUGAUAUGUUUUUUUUUUAUGUUUGAUCACUAUUAAGAUUAUUUAUUUGUUAUUUAAUCACUGUCAUAGUACACAUAAUGCCAGACAUGUGAAUGAAGAAGAAACUGCUAUGUAAACAUCCCGUCAUGUGAUUUCUUUGCUUCUUUGAAGUUUUCUUAUUCUUCAUGGAUUCUUAAUUGGUAAUCUAAGUUGAACAUCACAACUAGGUUGCAGAUUAAGACUACUUGAUCACAACCACACAUCAAAUGGAUGAUCAUAAAUAAGUAAAAUGGACCUUAGUUGCAGAUUGAAGAGUUGAAUACGUUUUGACUUAAUAUACAUGGAUAUGACUUGUAAGGGUGAAAUUGAGAUCCUUAGUCUCAUUCUCAUAGUUUUUUAAUCAAUCUAUCUUUCAUAUUUACAUGUUCCUGCAUUUUAAAUUACUUUAUUUUUCAAAUAAAAUACCAAAUUCAAAAUUUUAAUUCCAUUGUUUAGUUAGGGUUCACAUAAAGCCAGUAAUCUGUAGAGGUCUAAUUAGUCCAUAUGGUUCAACACCCUUAUGGUUCAACACCCUUACUUGUGUCAUUAUACCAUCCUUAUUUUGGCACUUGAAAGGAAUACAAUAUGGCACAUAAAUGGUUUCUAAAAUUGACCCACACCAUCAAGAUGGUGCCUAAAAUUGAAAAUUGAUUAAUGUGGUCCUAGAAAUAAGUGCAUCAAACCAAUGUGGUCCUUCCAUCACAAUUCUGUCGAAAAUUUUGCUAUGGGUUAAUGUGACCCUCUUAUUCUCAUCCCCUUCCCUCCCCUUCUAUCGCACACUCAUUUUUGUCUUAUUUUCUCUAUAUAAAAAUCAGUAUAAGAUGUUGACGUGAUUUAAUCGUAACCGUUCAAGUAGGAGACGAGGUAAAGGGAGAGAGAUUAGGAGGGGACAGAAUCCUCCUCCUUGAUGUGAUACAUAAAUGGGUCUCACAAGUCUAAUUAAAUAAAAAAUAAAUUAGAAAUAGUUUAAUAAUUAAUUAAAAUUUUUUGUCAACCCAGAAACCUAGUCUGGGAAUCACCUCUGAUCCCAAUCCACACUCCUCUACCUUCAUCUAUAGUAGCCAUUGCCAUCUCUUCUUUGAAAUAUAUAUAUUCUCAAGAAACCUAUCUCUACACCCUUCACAAAAUUGGAUCAAGAUCGAGACCACUUUUAGUGACGCCUUGGAUUGGCGAGGACUUAUGUGACAUCACCGUUAACAUAUGAGUGAUCGACACCCUCACAACCUUAAUGUGGGAAAGCUUGGGCACUCCCCUGAUGAUCUUGGUUAUGCGGGGAACGACGAGCUAUGUUUUGAGAUUUUCACUACGCAAAAAGGUAUUUUGACAACUCUUUUAAUUAAUUGUUAAAUUAUUAAACCCAUAUCAACACAAAACCAUUAUCUUUUUGUGAUACCUAUUUUCAAGAACUACGUUGGUUGAUUUAUAAUUUCAGAGAUCAUUUUAAUGGUGUGGGUCAAUUUCAAAAACCAUUUGUGAUAAAAACCUUAAAAUGUUGUGAGAUCCAUUUAUGUCUACACAGGGUUUGUGUGUGCACCACAAAACCAACAUUCUUCACGCGACCGGCGUUAGAUGAUCACUUGGCUCUGGUAAAUUCAUUGAGCGUUGAACUAUUCAAACCCUAUUUGAGAAGAAAUGAGGGCAGCCACGACCAGGGCCAGUGGUCUACCAUCCAUGUUCAAUAAGGUACCGUUUGGUACGCAGACGGGACGGGACGGAACGGAACAGAUGUUCUGUGUUAUGUUUGGUAAGCAUAGGACGAAACAUGACUUUUAUACCGUUCUACGUUUGGUAUCGUAUGGACGGAACGGAACCAAAAGAUUAAAAUGACUAAAAUACCCAUGUUCUGUCUAUUGUUUGAUAGUACAUGUGUGUGAUAUGUCUUAAACCAUGGACUGAUUUGUUGCAAUUCUACUACUACUUUCUGCUUUAUUAAUGGAGUUCGCUGCCCAGUCAUCAAAAGGAUAACCCUGGAUUUAUCUCAUUUCCUUGAGGAAUUAUCUCCCAUUAGGUUAAUUAUAUUAUCAAUUUCAUUUGGCACUGGAUUCUGCGAUAUUGUUGCAUGAAAAAACUAAACAUUUUAUAAAGCACAGACUAGAGUCAAGACACUGAACUCUCUGCUACAAUUUGUAAUAAUAUCUGUUGUUUCUCUAUAUUAAGUAAAUUGUGAGCUAUUAGAAUGCUAACAAAUCUGAUAAUUAACAAAACCCAGUAAUUAACACAACCCAAAUCAGCAACAAAAGAUAAAAAAGCAAAUCCGAAACCCAGAAAAUUUUCAAACCAAACGCAAAAGAAUGAAACAAAACGACCACACAAAAAAAUUGAAUCAGAAAAGAUUCAUCAAUUAAAGUAAAAAAAUGAGAUUCAACAAGCUAUCAAUCGCAACCUGGGUCGAUCUGCAGUGCGACAGUAGCUGAUGCGUGCUGGCUGGGUGCAGUCGACGACUACGGGAGAAGAUGAGGCAGUCGAUGGCUACGGGAGAAGAUGAGGCAGUCGAUGGCUACGGGAGAAGAUCUGCAGAGCGACAGUAGCUGCUGCGUGCUGGCUGGGUGCAGUCGACGGCUACGGAAGAAGAUGAGGAGGAAGAGAGAGCAGCGGCAGAGAAUGGAGGUCUUACGGGAAGAGAGAGCAGUGGCUGAGAAAGGUAGGGUUUGUUUUUAGGAUAUAGAUGGUGUAAAUAUUGAAAAUGACAGGGGGUAAUUUUGUCUUAAAAUGUUAAAAAUUUCUCUUCCACAUCCGUGGAACAACUUGUUCCAGGGGGUGGAGGUGGAACAAAAAAUGACCCAAAAUUUGUCCCGUAGAACAGCUUGUUCCACCCAUUUUAGACGUGCUAAACGUGGGACGGAACGCCUCGUCCUGUUCUUCCCGUCCCGUCCCACGUAUCAAACGGACCCUAAAUGCUGUAUUUCUACGGAGGUCUUGAAAAUAGCUUGUACUCAUGUAUUGAUAUUCCUAAAUUCAAAAACUUCAAGAUGAUCCUCACACACAAGUAUAUCACGUCUUAAUGCUAAUUUAUUAUCAAUUUAUAACUCUCUUUCCCGCUAAACCUAAUCUAUUUUUACCGUGAAAAAAAUCUCAGCUGAUUGUAAAUUCAGUCAAUCUUUUUCUGUUGUUGGAGUAAAUUCAGUCAGUUAAAAAAUACAAAUAAAGUUGCCGCCGAAAACUUAAAAAAUAAAAUAAAAACAGAGGUAUUUUAGAAUACCUCAUUUUUGUUUAUGAGCUCUCAAUCUCUCUUCUACUCUGUCUCUCUCUGCCAGUCUCGAACCCAGGACCAGCUGGGUUGUUGUGGAGGUCUCACAAUUCCAAUCCAAUCCAAUCCAACGGGCUACCAGAGACUGGCAUUGUUGUCUCCGUCAUUAAUUUUAUUUGUAAUCUCCUUAUUUAUUAAUCUGUUUGUUUAGAUUUUUGCUGGUUAAAAACGCAUUAAUAAGUGAUUGUUCAUAAAAUCUUUGCACUUGCUAUUUUUUUUCUACCAAUACAUGUUCGCUUUUAUGAGCAGCUUGGAUCGUAGGAGACCAAGUUCGAGUUUACUAAUCUGUCAAUUGUUUCAAACGUUCUUUAUUGCGAGAGGUGAUGAAUUCUAUGAUAAUGCGACUUCAAUUCGUGAUGGCAGUCAAAGUUUAGAAUUACGAGUUAUUCUAAUGUUCUAUCUUUGGCGGAUGCCCAUGGAAAUGUUGAAGUACAUAGACAAAGAAGUUGUAACACUUGGAGCGUUAUUCCUUAGGAACAGAACGUUGUACACUCCUACUUUUAAGGUUAGAGUUUCCUUUCACGGUAAUUAAACCAAUUUCAUCAAAAAAUCAGGGAUUGGCUCCUCUGUUGAUAUUUUUCUCAUAUCAAUCUAAAAUUCAAAAGAGAGAUCGUUGUUAUUUACACUCACAGAAAGUCAUUAUGCAUUUUUUCAUAUAAAAAAGGAAAAGUUUUUAAAAUGUCAUAUGAACUUAAACACAUUUUUUUUAUUUGUCAUAUGAACUAAAACCUUAAAUGAUAUGUCACGGCAACUUUUCCGAAAUUAAUAAUUUUAAAUGACAAAUUAAUGAUUUUAAAAGUUGGUAUGACAAAUCGUUUAAAAUUUUAGUUUAUACGAUAAAUUGAAAAAAGUGUACAAGUUCAUAUGACAUUUCAAAAAAUUUCCAAUAACGCUUUAAUUAUUUAAAUUAAAAAAACGUAAACCUAAGAAAUAAUAAAAAUAAAAUAGAAAAACAAAUAUUUAAAUAAAAGAAAUCAAAAUAAUGACACAAAUAAAUCUCUAUGUGAAAAUAUUUUGCUUCGAUUCUCUGAUCUCUUGAAAAUCAAACUCCAGUUGUUACGCUCCGAUCUCUGGAUACCUCCUCCAAGACGGACACGUGACAUCAGAAAGUAUCUAUCUAAUUGUCAUGCCUCGUUUUUGAGACAUGUCUAAAAACAGACUAACUGUCCAAUAGCGUAGCAACUCCACUUUUAUCACAUGAUUGCAUCUAACCUUUGUGUUAGAUUGCCUACUUACCCAAGGACAGGAUCAAGCCAUUUGUAAUUCACCUUUCUGUUAAGCUCUGAAAUUUCUCAAUGCAUACACUGGCAAGAACAUAGAGAAUUAGUAUCACUCAAUGGACCUUAACGAGCAUGGCUCACUAGAUUCCAUAUUACGUAAGGCAACCAUUUAAAAACCAUGAUUGUCAUUCAUCUUUCACGUACAUCGCACUGUUUUCCAACAACAAUUCCACAAUCACAACAAUAAUUGAAUCAAUGAAUCAAAGAUGCACAAUAUUAACAUUUAACUAAGUUAAUCAACAAUUAAGAUCAUAUAUCACUUCACUAAGUUUAGUAAAGCUAAACUCUGUAAGGUUUGGGUUGUUCUGAGGAUCCAGUGUGAGUACUUUUGGAACUACGAAAGGACGUUAACGGUGCAAAAAAAUAAUAAAAUAUUGAAUCACAAUUUAUAAAAAGAGGAUUGUAGGCCAUUUUCGAAUUUCUGGACCGCAGGUCACUAAAUUUAUUCAACACUGGGCUAGUACCAAGAAAAUAUAGUGGUUCGAGCCCAUAUUUGGGUUGGAUGGUUGCGGGCCAAGCAUAUGAAAAGCCCAGAUUCUGGGUGUUGGCUCAACAGCCCCAACGAAUUUGGUCACAGGAGUAGGACGGCAAACGUCGUCGUUAAGGGACAGCUGAAAGACGCGACUUGGCGCUAGAUUAGGGUUUUUUUAAGGGAGUUUUAACGAAAAACACAUGAUACUGUUCAUUUUAACGAAAAAUCAUAUUUUUACACUAAAAAAUCAAACAUGGUACUAUUCACUUUACCAUUUAUUUUAUCUUUAUCAUUAAAACUCAAAUUUUUUUAAGCCAUUUUCAUUAGUUUUUUUUUUUUUUUUCACCCAAAAAAAUCGAAUUUUGCUUAAUAUAUGGAACAUAGCAAAUAUAUGAAGUAAAAAUAAAUUCGUGGUUCAUGCAUGGUGAUACUUUAAUUCAAAGAGAAUAAAUGAAUAAAAUUCUAAAGGGACAUGAUUUGAGACAUUAAGAUCAAUAGUAAACAUCAUGAUCCUUUCCCAAAUUAAGACAGCGUAGAAGAGGAAAGAAAACUUAAUACUUACCAAAACGAUAUGGAACAAUUAUUUUGUUAUUUUUUAUGGUAAUAAUUAUUUUUGUUAUUAUUAUACAAAAUACGAUAAGUAAUAUAAGAUGUGGCCAUGUCCCUAGCAGCAUUCAUCCUCUCUAUAAAUACAAUCACAACGCAUGGUUUGCUUCAACUCAGGCCACUGCUUCUCACUCUAUAACGUUCUCUCUCUCUCUCUCUCUCUCUCUCUCUCUCUCUCUCUCUCUCUCUCUCUCGAUCUUUCUUGAUCUCUCUCCCGGCCUUUCUGAUCUGCUCGUCAGUUUUUGAACUAGCAAUCGACCUACAAUGAACAUUCGGGGCAACAACAUUCUGCUUGUGCUGUUAUACGCUUUUGCUUUUGCAGGUUUGCUUUGUAUUUCUAUCAUAGUUUUAUGAAAAAUAAUGAGUUUGAAUCAUUAUAAAGCUUCGGAAUGAAGAUUAAACACUUACUGGCCCGGUCUCUCAUUAGGGUUCUUAGUUUUGGUGUUAAUGUUGAAUUUGUUUGGUGGGGCUCAUGGACUGAGCCUCAGGGAGAAUAGCUUCACUAUCACCAAUUUUAUACAAUCGGUUACACCUAAGAGACAGUCGAGGCCAAGACAAUUAUAAGUCACCCUAAGCAAGGGAACAAUACUGCCAUUGAUACUGUUGAGCCGUAACUUGUGCCUGAAGGCAAAACAGAGCGACCAAAACAGUACUGCUAUUGUUUGUGUUUAAACAAUAUCCAAAUUACCUAGCUAUGUAGUUAAACAGUAUCAAAUUUAUUUAUUGACAAUAUUACCUAUGUAUUUUACUUUUAAUUCAUCGCAACAUAAUACGAUUAACAAUUAAACAAUUGCUUUGUGCUUUACAGGGUUUGACGUAAAUGGCUUAUCCUAUGAUUACACGGCCAGUAUUGAGGCAAGUUUCCCAACAACUGUUUUGUUAGGUUUACGUAGAUUAAUUAAAUGUAACAAAUUUGUUCCUCUUGUUUACAGUGUUUGGUAAAGCCUCACAAACCACAAUAUCGCGGAGGAAUCAUUGCAAACCCUGAACUAAAUCUUGGCGUGAAAGGAUGGUCUACUUUUGGCAAUGCAAAAAUACAACACCGAGAAUAAGAAGGCAACAAAUUCAUUGUGGCUCAUAGUAGAAACCAGCCACAUGACAGUAUUUCGCAGAAGACGUACUUGCAAAGAAGCAAGCUCUACACAUUCUCUGGUACUUAACCAACAACAACAACAACAACAAAGCCUUUUCCCACUAAGUGGGGUCGGCUAUAUGAAUCCUAGAACGCCAUUGCGCUCGGUUUUGUGUCAUGUCCUCCGUUAGAUCCAAGUACUCUAAGUCUUUUCUUAGAGUCUCUUCCAAAGUUGUCCUAGGUCUUCCUCUACCCCUUCGGCCCUGAACCUUUGUCCCGUAGUCACAUCUUCGAACCGGAGCGUCAGUCGGCCUUCUUUGCACAUGUUCAAAAUCACCGGAGCCGAUUUUCUCUCAUAUUUCCUACAAUUUCGGCUACUCCUACUUUACCUCGGAUAUCCUCAUUCCCAAUCUUAUCCUUUCUCGUGUGCCCACACAUCCCACGAAGCAUCCUCAUCUCCGCUACACCCAUUUUGUGUACGUGUUGAUGCUUCACCACCCAACAUUCUGUGCCAUACAACAUCGCUAGCCUUAUUGCCGUCCUAUAAAAUUUUCCCUUGAGCUUCAGUGGCCUACGACGGUCACACAACACGCCGGAUGCACUCUUUCCAUCCAGCUCGUAUUCUAUGGUUGAGAUCUCCAUCUAAUUCUCCGUUCUCUUGCAAGAUAGAUCCUAGGUAGCGAAAACGAUCGCUUUUUGUGAUCUUCGCUAGAUUGCUCCGGUCAUUAGUGUGGAUAAGUAUAUAAAUGGAUAGAGAUAGGAAAGCAAACACAAGAUGUACGUGGUUCACCCAGAUUGGCUACGUCCACGGAAUAGAAGAGUUCUCAUUAAUUGUGAAGGGUUUACACAAGUACAUAGGUUCAAGCUCUCAUUUAGUGAGUACAAGUGAAUGAUUUAGUACAAAUGACAUUAGGAAAUAUUGUGGGAGAAUGAUCUCGUAAUCACGAAACUUCUAAGUAUCGGAGUGUGGUGUCGUCUUGACUUGCCUUAUCUGUCUCAUAGGUAGAUGUGGCAUCUUCUCUGGAAGUACUCUUCCUCCAUCCAGGGGUGGUAUCUUUAACUGGUGGAGAUGCACAAGGUAAUGUAUCAAUUUCACUUGAAGCUUACUUGUAGUUUCAGGCUUGGUCAAGCGCGAUACAAACCAUGUAGUAGGAGUCCCCCAAGUCGCCGAGCUAGGGGGUCUGCUGAAAGAGGUGACAGACAAGGUAAGCAAUCAGAGCUCCGACUGAUUGUUCACCUUCUCCCCAUCUUGCAGCAGCAUGAAGGAUAAAGAGAAGAAAAAUGAGAAGAGAUGAUAUGAGAUACUUUUGCUUUUGAAGAAGUAACUUUCCACAGGCUUAUUCUUGAACUGAGCUGGAGGGUUUUCUGGUUUCCUCCAGAGUAUUAAGGCCGACUGAAGAAUUUGAGGGUCAAAACAAGUCCAUCAAAUCUAGAGUACGUUCCACCCUGCUGAUAUGGGAUACUUUUGCUUUUGACAGAGUAAUGAAUGUAUCGGCACGUGUGCUGUUACGCUUGUCUCCACAUGCUUCCUUGUAUCCUUCGCACUUGCCCUAUCUGUUCCUCAAGCAGAUGCGGAAUCUUCCCUGGAAACAUAAGAUGUUGAAGAUGAGUACUCGAGAGCAAUGCCAGGUAAGUAAUCAGGUAAGGGGUUCCAGGCAGUCAGUUCCUGGCUGGAAGCUUGAUUCCAAGUGCUGACUGAUUGCUCUCUUUCUCCUUGUCUUGCAGGUAAAAACAAGGCCAAAAAGAAAAGACAGGGAAAAAGCAUGAUAUGGGAUACUCUUGCUUUUAACCCUGAUGAUAUGAGAUAUUCUUGCUCUAGUAUAGCUUGUUUGCAGAGGUAUUAUCGGGGGGAAAGAAAGCUGAAUAUUUCGAAAGGCUUUCGUUGGGAGUGCCCUCUCAGAUAUGAUGAAGGGUUGAGCAUUUUUGCAGGUCUGCCUGUCCGUUGGGGAUGGAGGUCGACAUAUAUAGGAGUCUCCCUAACAACAAGUAGUAAUGCUAUUCCUUUACCCUGCUUGGUCAUAGCACGGUAGUGGGAGCUGCCUGUUUCACAUGUUUUAACUCUGUCAGAGCACUUUGAAAAAGUGGUCUGUGGUAUCUGGCUCUCGAGAUUCGGAGAACGAUGCCUCUUCGAUUUUUGAGAAAGCAAUCAUGAUGGGGGUAUGACUCUCGAGAUUCGGAGAGCAGUGUCUCUUCGAUUUUUGAGGAAGUAAUCAUGUUGGGAGUCUGGCUCUCGAGAUUCGGAGGACGGUGCCUCUUCGAUUUUGGAGCAAGCAAUCUUGUUGGGAGUGUUGUCUCGAAUGUGAGUAAAGGUUGGGCAUGUUUGCUAGUCUACCUUGCCACGAAGCACAAAGGUUGACACACAGGGACUUUCCAAUUAUCCAGCAAUGGUACUGUUCCUUUACCCUCUCUUCGAUUUUGAGAAAGUAGUCAUGUUGGGAGUCUGGCUCUCGAGAUUCGGAGGACGGUGCCUCUUCGAUUUUGGAGCAAGCAAUCUUAUUGGGAGUGUUUUCUCGAAUGUGAGUAAAGGUUGGGCAUGUUUGCUAGUCUACCUUGCCACGAAGCACAGAGGUUGACACACAGGGACUUUCCAAUUAUCCAUCAGUGGUACUGUUCCUUUACAGUUGUGGGUAAUAAUAUGGUAGCUAGACCUUCAAAAUUUAUGUGUCUAAACUUUUGUUAGUGCUGUUUCUUUGCUAUUCUUUUACCUUUCUUGGUCAGAGCGAUGUAGUGGGAGCUGCAAGCUUCACGUGCUCAACUUUGGCAGAGAACUUUGGCAAAGUUAUUUGUGGUACCCAUGAGCUAUUGUUGCGUGUGGGAAGUGGGUGAUUGAACAGUAAGAUUCAUGUGCUUUCUACUUCACCAGAAGUCUUCGACAGAAUGCCCAUAAUUUCUGCAAAGCUGAGUGUGCGUGUGACAGGUGCUGACAAGGCUAGAAAAGUAGGUGCCUCUUCGAUUUCUGAGAUCGGUCCUCGUGGUCUCUGAGCAGCCCAGCUUUUGAGAAAGCGAGCGCCUCUUCGAUUGAUUCGGAGAACUAUGCCUCAUCGAUUUUUGAGAAAGCAAUCAUGCUGGGGGUCUGGCUCUCGAGAUUCGGGGAGCAGUGUCUCUUCGAUUUUUGAGAAAGUAAUCAUGUUGGGAGUCUGGCUCUCGAGAUUCGGAAGGCGGUGCCUCUUCGAUUUUGGAGCAAGCAAUCUUGUUGGGAGUGUUUUCUCGAAUGUGAGUAAAGGUUGGGCAUGUUUGCUAGUCUACCUUGCCACGAAGCACAGAGGUUGACACACAGGGACUUUCCAAUUAUCCAGCAAUGGUACUGUUCCUUUACCCUCUCUUCGAUUUUUAAGAAAGUAGUCAUGUUGGGAGUCUGGCUCUCGAGAUUCGGAGGACGGUGCCUCUUCGAUUUUGGAGCAAGCAAUCUUAUUGGGAGUGUUUUCUCGAAUGUGAGUAAAGGUUGGGCAUGUUUGCUAGUCUACCUUGCCACGAAGCACAGAGGUUGACACACAGGGACUUUCCAAUUAUCCAGCAGUGGUACUGUUCCUUUACCCUUGUGGGUAAUAAUAUGGUAGCUAGACCGUCAAAAUUUAUGGGUCUAAACUUUGUUAGUGCUGUUUCUUUGCUAUUCUUUUACCCUUCUUGGUCAGAGCGAUGUAGUGGGAGCUGCAAGCUUCACGUGCUCAACUUUGGCAGAGAACUUUGGCAAAGUUAUUUGUGGUACCCAUGAGCUAUUGUUGCGUGUGGGAAGUGGGUGAUUGAACAGUUAGAUUCAUGUGUUUUUCUACUUCCCCAGAAGUCUUUGACAGAAUGCCCAUAAUUUCCGCAAAACUGAGUGUGCGUGUGACAGGUGCUGACAAGGCUGGAAAAGGCUGGAAAAGUAGGUGCCUCUUCGAUUUCUGAGAUCGGCCCUCGUGGUCUCUGGGGAGCCCAGCUUUUGAGAAAGCGAGCGCCUCUUCGAUUUUUGAGAUCGGCCUUCGUGGUAUUUGAGCAGCCCAACUUUUGAGAAAGCAAACGCCUCUUCGAUUUCUGAGAUCAACCCUCGUGAUCUCUAAGCAGCCCAGCUUUUGAGAAAGCAAACGCCUCUUCGAUUUCUGAGCAGGCGCCUCUUCGAUUUCUGAAGCUUCGUCGAGUGCAGAUUUUUAUAGGGGCUGGCAUUAAGUUCCAAAGCACACUUGAAUCUCCACCAGUAGAAGCUUCAUUCUUGCACUUCUAAGAUCUUGAUUUGUCCGACCUCUUCUCUCUUCAACACCUUUGAAAAUGUCUGGCCCCUCCGACCGUCGUUUUGACUUGAACCUUGUUGAAGAGGCAGCCCCGCCUUCUCCAGACAACAUAUGGCGCCCAUCCUUCGUCUCCCCUACUGGUCCUCUUACCGUUGGGGAUUCCGUGAUGAAGAAUGAUAUGACCGCUGCGGUGGUGGCCAGGAACCUUCUCACUCCCAAAGAUAACAGACUACUUUCCAAACGGUCUGAUGAGUUAGCUGUUAAGGAUUCGCUGGCUCUCAGUGUUCAGUGUGCAGGUUCUGUGUCUAAUAUGGCCCAACGCCUAUUUGCUCGAACCCGCCAAGUUGAAUCAUUGGCGGCUGAAGUGAUGAGUCUCAAACAGGAGAUUAGAGGGCUCAAGCAUGAGAAUAAACAGUUGCACCGGCUCGCACAUGACUAUGCUACAAACAUGAAGAGGAAGCUUGACCAGAUGAAGGAAACUGAUGGUCAGGUUUUACUUGAUCAUCAGAGAUUUGUGGGUUUGUUCCAAAGGCAUUUAUUGCCUUCGUCUUCUGGGGCUGUACCGCGUAAUGAAGCUCCAAAUGAUCAACCUCUGAUGCCUCCUCCUUCUAGGGUUCUGUCCAGUACUGAGGCUCCAAAUGAUCCCCCUCCGGUGCCUUCUCUUUCUGGGGCUCUACCGACUGCUGAGACUUCUCCUAAGCAACCUUUUGUGAAGGCUCCCUCUUGUGUGUUUAUUUUGACUCAUGUAUAUGUACAUAUUUGUAGCUUAUCGGGGAUAUCAAUAAAUAAGCUUUCCUUCAUUUCAACGUAUUGUGUUAAAUACACCAAAGCCUUCUUCGCUAAGUUCUUUGAAUUUUCUUUUGUUUGAAGCUUGUAUGUUGAAGCUUUCUGAGUGGAGCAUGUAGGUUGGGGUAGUGUUCCCUUAAUUUCCCGAGUGAGGAAAACUUCUCGGUUGGAGACUUGGAAAAUCCAAGUCACUGAGUGGGAUCGGCUAUAUGAAUCUUAGAACGCCAUUGUGCUCGAUCCUGUGUCAUGUCCUUCGUUAGAUCCAAGUACUCUAAGUCUUUUCUUAGAGUCUCUUCCAAAGUUUUUCCUAGGUCUUCCUCUACCCCUUCGGCCCUGAACCUCUGUCCCAUAGUCGCAUCUUCUAAUCGGAAGCGUCAGUAGGCCUUCUUUGCACAUGUCCAAACCACCGUAACCGAUUUUCUCUCAUCUUUCCUUCAAUUUCGGCUACUCCUACUUUACCCCGGAUAUCCUCAUUCCUAAUCUUAUCCUUUCUCGUGUGCCCACACAUCCAACGAAGCAUCCUCAUCUCCGCUACACCCAUUUUGUGUACGUGUUGAUGUUUCACCGCCCAACAUUCUGUGCCAUACAGCAUCGCCGGCCUUAUUGCCGUCCUAUAAAAUUUUCCCUUGAGCUUCAGUGGCAUACGGCGGUCACACAACACGCCGGAUGCACUCUUCCACUUCAUCCAUCCAGCUUGUAUCUAUGGUUGAGAUCUCCAUCAUCUCCAUCUAAUUCUCCGUUCUUUUGCAAGAUAGAUCCUAGGUAACGAAAACGGUCGCUCUUUGGUAUUUCUUGAUCUCCGAUCCUCACCCCUAACUCGUUUUGGCCUCCAUUUGCACUGAACUUGCACUCCAUAUAUUCUGUCUUUGAUCGGCUUAGGCGAAGACCUUUAGAUUCCAACACUUCUCUCCAAAGGUUAAGCUUUGCAUUUACCCCUUCCUGAGUUUCAUCUAUCAACACUAUAUCGUCUGCGAAAAGCAUACACCAAGGAAUAUCAUCUUGAAUAUGUCCUGUUAACUCAUCCAUUACCAACGCAAAAAGGUAAGGACUUAAGGAUGAGCCUUGAUGUAAUCCUACAGUUAUGGGAAAGCUUUCGGUUUGUCCUUCAUGAGUUCUUACGGCAGUCUUUGCUCCUUCAUACAUAUCCUUUAUAGCUUGGAUAUAUGCUACUCGUACUCCUUUCUUCUCUAAAAUCCUCCAAAGAAUGUCUCUUGGGACCCUAUCAUACGCUUUUUUCCAAAUCUAUAAAGACCAUGUGUAAAUCCUUUUUCCCAUCUCUAUAUCUUUCCAUCAAUCUUCGUAAGAGAUAGAUUGCCUCCAUGGUUGAGCGCCCUGGCAUGAACCCGAAUUGGUUGUCCGAAACCCGUGUCUCUUGCCUCAAUCUAUGCUCAAUGACUCUCUCCCAGAGCUUCAUUGUAUGACUCAUUAGCUUAAUACCCCUAUAGUUCAUGCAAUUUUGUACGUCGCCCUUAUUCUUGUAGAUAGGCACCAAAGUGCUCGUUCGCCACUCAUUUGGCAUCUUCUUCUUCGUUUUCAAAAAUCCUAUUGAAAAGGUCAGUGAGCCAUGUUUAUACCUGUCUCUCCCAAAAGUUUCCACACUUCGAUUGGUAUAUCGUCUGGGCCUAUUGCUUUUUUAUGCUUCAUCUUCUUCAAAGCUACAACCACUUCUUCCUUCCGGAUUCGACGAUAAAAAGAGUAGUUUCUACACUCUUCUGAGUUACUCAACUCCCCUAAAGAAGCACUCACUUUCAUGUCCUUCAUUGAAAAGAUUAUGAAAAUAACCUCUCCAUCUGUCUUUAACCGCGUUCUCUGUAGCAAGAACCUUUCCAUCCUCAUCCUUGAUGCACCUCACUUGGUUUAGGUCCCUUGUCUUCUUUUCCCUUGCUCUAGAUAGUUUAUAGAUAUCCAACUCUCCUUCUUUGGUAUCUAGUCGUUUAUACAUAUCGUCGUAAGCCGCUAACUUAGCUUCUCUGACAGCUUUCUUCGCCUCUUGCUUCGCUUUUCUAUACCUUUCACCAUUUUCAUCAGUCCUCUCCUUGUAUAAGGCUUUACAACAUUCCUUCUUAGCCUUCACCUUUGUUUGUACCUCCUCAUUCCACCACCAAGAUUCCUUUUGGUGUGGGGCAAAGCCCUUGGACUCUCCUAAUACCUCUUUUGCUACUUUUCGGAUACAACUAGCCAUGGAAUCCCACAUUUGGCUAGCUUCCCCCUCUCUAUCCCACACACAUUGGGUGAUUACCUUCUCUUUGAAAAUGGCUUGUUUUUUCUUCUUUUAGAUUCCACCAUCUAGUCCUUGGGCACUUCCAAGUCUUGUUCUUUUGUCUUACUCUUUUGAUAUGUACAUCCAUCACCAACAAGCGAUGUUGAUUAGCCACGCUCUCUCCUGGUAUAACUUUGCAAUCCUUACAAGUUAUACGAUCCCCUUUCCUCAUUAGAAGAAAAUCUAUUUGUGUUUUUGACGACCCACUCUUGUAGGUGAUCACAUGUUCUUCUCUCUCUUCUUAAAGAAGGUGUUGGCUAAGAAGAGAUCAUAUGCCAUUGCAAAAUCCAAGAUAGCUUCCCCAUCCUCGUUUCUCUCCCCAAAACCAUGGCCACCAUGAAAACCUCCAUAGUUGCCUGUCUCCCUGCCCACGUGUCCAUUUAAAUCUCCUCCUAUAAAUAACUUCUCCGUCUGAGCAAUUCCUUGCACCAAGUCUCCAAGAUCUUCCCAAAAUUUCUCCUUCGAACUCGUAUCCAACCCUACUUGAGGUGCGUACGCACUAAUCACAUUGAUAAGUUCUUGUCCUAUUACAAUCUUGAUUGCCAUGAUUCUAUCUCCUACCCUCUUGACAUCUACAACAUCUUGUACCAAGGUCUUGUCCACGAUGAUGCCAACACCGUUUCUCGUUCUAUUUGUGCCCGAAUACCAAAGUUUAAACCCUGAGUUUUCUAGAUCCUUUGCCUUACUACCAACCCACUUAGUUUCUUGUAGGCACAUAAUAUUUAUCCUUCUCCUCACCAUAACUUCCACUACUUCCAUAGAUUUUCCCGUUAAGGUUCCUAUAUUCCACGUUCCUAAACGCAUUUUGCUCUCUUGAACUCUACCCUUCUGUCCUAGCUUCUUCACCCUCCCCCGUCUAAUAGGAUCAAAGUACUUCUUUUGUGUGUCCCGGGUAAAGUUGAUAGGAGCAUAUGCUCCCAAACAACUUUGAGUGGAGUCGUUCGAAAAGAAGUUUCUAUGGCCCCCUUGCUCAUUUAACACUGCAUCCGGGUGCCGAUGGAGAUACAGCGACCCUUGCUCACUUAUCACUGUGCUCAGGCCACACAGCGCGCCACUUACGGGUGACGCCCUAGCUUUAGCGCGAUUUUGUUCUGGAUUCAUUUUCAUAAGGAUUCGACGUGGUCAUGGAGUGCCGGCUGUCGACUACCUGACGCCCUCCCCCUCCUCCUUUAUCCGGGCUUGGGACCGGCCAUGUAAGACAUAGGCGGAGUUCUCUGGUACUUAACCAAUUACUCUUUUUUACUGAUUCAUGGUAUAAUUAUCAACUAAUUACUUAAUCGAUAAUUGUAACAAUGUUUCCGGUUUGUGUUGGUGCAGCUGGGAUACAAGUGAGUAGCAGUAGUGCUCCGGUAUCAGCAAUUUUCAAGACAAGUAGCGGAUUUGUACAUGUUGGUGCAAUUGUAGCUGAAUCCGGCUGCUAGUCCAUGCUCAAGGGUGGCUUAACCGUCAAUGCCUCAGGUCCCGCCGAGCUCUACUUCGAGGUAUUUGUUUCUGCUAUAUGUAUGAUAUUUACUGAUAUUUUUUUUCUGUUAAUCUUUUAUAACUAACAACCAUCAAACCUCUUAAAUCAGAGCGAGAACACAUCUGUUGAGAUCUUUGUUGAUAGCAUCUCCUUACAACCAUUCACUCAGAAGCAGUGGAAUUCUCAUCAACAACAAAGCAUUGAGAAGGUGAGUUUGAUCAGGCCAUAUAAUUACUAGUGAAACAAGGCUAACUAAACGCAAAUGAACUAACUAUACACUUUUUACAGGUUCGUAAGACGAAUGUUAGAAUUCAAGCGGUCACCGAGCAAGGAAAUCCACUAGAAAAUGCAACAAUCAUCAUCCAACAAAAGGCUCCAGGCUUCCCCUUCGGUGUUGCAGUCAACAAGAACAUCCUCACCAACACAGCCUACCAAAACUGGUUCACUUCAAAGCCUUUCAAAGUCACAACGUUUGAAGACGAAAUGAAAUGGUACACCAUGGAGCCUUCUCCAGGCCAAGAGGACUACUCCGCUGCUGAUGCCUUGGUUCAGUUUGCAAAGCAACACCAGAUUGCAGUCCGAGGCCACAAUGUGUUCUGGGAGGAUCCUGAUUACCAGGCCGGUUGGCUUAACUCGCUCUCUGGCCAACAAUUCUCCGAUGCCGCUAACAAGAGGCUCAAUUCUAUUAUGGGGAGAUACAAGGGACAAGUCAUUGCUUGGGAUGUUAGCAACGAAAAUUUGCAUUUUAAUUUCUUUGAGAGUAAGAUGGGUGCAACUGCGUCUGCUGAAUUUUACAAUUGGGCUAGUAAAGCUGAUGAUACAGCCACACUGUUCUUGAAUGAUUACAAUACCAUUGAGGAGAGUGGAGAUAAAGAUUCGAUUCCGGCUAAGUACCUUCAGAAGCUGAGAGACAUACAAGGGUUUCCCGGUAACAGUAAUGCAAAGAUGGCGAUUGGUCUCGAGUCACAUUUCCAGACUCCUAACAUUCCAUACAUAAGAUCUUACAUUGAUACUCUUGCUGGUGCAAAUGUGCCAAUUUGGAUUACAGAAUUGGACGUCGUUAGUGGUCCCAAUCAGGUAAAAUACUGCGCCUCUCCACCUAUUGCCAAUAAUGAUUUUGCGUUCGAUAGCAGAGCGAGAAAUUUAUUUAUGUCACAUGUGAAGGAACAUAGGUAUUGACUUUAUAAACAUAAAAAUCACAACUCUGCGGAGUAGUUAACUUUUCUGUUUUUUGGUUAUACGUGCAGGCAUCAUACUUAGAGCAGAUUCUAAGGGAGGUGCAUUCUCACCCUAAGAUUCAAGGCAUUGUCAUUUGGGCUGCAUGGAAACCUUCAGGAUGCUACAGAAUGUGUUUGACGGAUAACAAUUUCAAGAACUUGCCCACCGGCGAUGUUGUCGACAAGCUCACAAGUGAGUUCGGUUUGACUUCGGGCUUAGCUUCUGGCACGACGAACGCAAAUGGUUUCUUCGAGGCCUCGCUUUUCCACGGCGAUUACGAAGUGAAAAUUACUCACCCCUUGGUCGACUCCCCCUUCGUUCGGGGUUUGAAUGUGGCACCAACUACUGAGUCCCAGCAACAAUUGCACGUCCAACUUAAUGCCUGAAGAAUAAUUACGUUUUCUCUUGUUUUUGUAAGCACUUUUGGGUCUGAAAGGUGCAAAAGAAAGACAAAAACAGAGGUAUUUUAGAAUACCUCAUUUUGUUGCAAUUAUUUUCUUAUUUUCUUUUUCUAGUGCCAGUCGAACUGUUGACCCGGUGGACUUUAUGUGAACACAAAGCCACUAGGCUACAUAGAGACCGGCUGUG